GACAAAGCAUGCUUGUGACAUUGUCGCCUUGGCCAUGUCAACAAGAAACGCAUAGCCCAACUCCAAAAGGAUGGAGUGUUGGAGUCAUUCAACCUUAGGGACGAUGACACGUGUGAAUCUUAUUUAUUUGGGAAGAUGACCAAGUCACCCUUUACUGGCACUUGUGAAAGGGGUGAGGGUCCAUUGGAUCUCAUACACACCGAUGUGUGUGGGCCCUUUAGAUCCACCACAAGGGAUGCUUGCCGCUUCUACGUGACUUUUACGGAAGAUUAUAGCAGAUAUGGAUAUAUCUACUUAAUCAAUAAAAAGUCAGAAACCUUUGAAAAGUUCAAAGAGUUUAAGAAUGAAGUGGAGAAUCAGCUGGGCAGGAAAAUCAAGAUGCUUCGGUCAGACCGAGGAGGAGAGUACCUAAGUCUUGAAUUUCACGACUAUCUAAAGGAAUGCAGAAUUGUUUCGCAAUUGACGCCUCCGAGAAUGCCACAAUUGAAUGGUGUGGCUGAGAGACGUAAUCGAACCUUGUUGGACAUGGUUCGUUCUAUGAUGAGUCGGACUUCGUUACCAAUAUCUUUCUGGUGGUAUGCCUUAGAGACUGCCUCCCACAUCCUUAACUUAGUUCCCACAAAGAAGGUUACCAAGGCUCCUAACGAGAUGUGGACAGUGAAAGCUCCCUCGUUAGCACACAUUAAGGUUUGGGGUUGCGAGACUUUUGUAAGAUGAGAGACUCAUGACAAGCUCGAACCUCGUAGUGAGAAGUGUUAUUUCAUCGGCUAUCCACAUAAGUCUUUUCGCUAUCUUUUCUAUAGACCGAAUGACAAUGUUGUCUUCGUUGCUAGAAGAGGAGUGUUCCAAGAAAGGGAAUUGAUAAGCCAAGAAGACAGUGGGAGGCAAAUUGAUCUUGAAGAGAUUCAAGAACAAAGUGAUGAAGGAACCUCUAACACCGGCGCUUAACCCGAGGAGGAAACUCCUGUUGAACCCGUUGGCGAGUCCUUACCUCUUAGACGUUCUAAUAGGGUUAGUGUUCAACCCCAAUUUUAUGGUUUUCAUAUUACUACUGAAGGGGAUACGUUUAUUAGUGAUGAAACACUAAUGAAUUUGGACGAACCUAGCGGCUACAAAGAAGCCAUGGCAGGGUCGGAGUCUGCUAAAUGGAAAGAGGCGAUGGAUAGCGAGAUUCAGUCCAUGUAAGACAACCAAGUUUGGAAUUUGGUUGAUAAUGUGUCGGGUCGUAAGACAGUCGGGUGCAAGUGGAUCUUCAAGAAGAAGACGAACAUGGAUGGGAAUGUGCACACUUAUAAAGUGUGAUUGGUUGCGAAGGGAUUUAAUCAAACUCCCGGAGUUGACUAUGAUGAGACCUUCUCACCAGUUGCGAAGAUAAAGUCUAUUAGGGUAAUGCUUGCAAUAGUUGCGUUUCAUGAUUAUGUAAUAUGCCAGAUGGACAUGAAAACCGCUUUCGUUAAUGGGAAUUUGAUUGAGGAUAUGUAUAUGAAUCAGCCAGAGGGUUUUGUUGAUGCGAAGCAUCCAAAUAGAGUGUGUAAGCUUGAGAAAUUCAUUUAUGGAUUGAAACAAGCGUCUCACAGAUGGAAUCUUUGUUUUGACGAGAAGGUUAAAGAGUUUGGCUUUCUGUGAAGCGAAGAUGAAUCUUGUGUAUAUGUCAAAGCCAGUGGGAGUAUAGUGAGCUUCCUCGUAUUGUCUGUUGAUGAAAUACUACUCAUAGGAAACGAUGUCCCAACCUUGCGGGAGGUCAAGUCCUGGCUUGGGAAAUGUUUAGCUAUGAAGGACCUCAGAGAGGCUGCUUAUAUUCUGGGAAUAAGGAUAGUAAGAAAUAGGGGAAAGAGACUGAUAGGACUCAGUCAGGAUACAUACUUAGACAAGGUACUAAAGCGUUUUAGUAUGGAAAAUUCCAAGAAAGGGGAGUUGCCAAUCCAAAGCAAUACCAAUCUGAGUAAGACUCAGAGCCCGAGUACAGAGGCAGAGAUAGCUGAUAUGAGCCGAGUACCUUACUUUUCCGCAGUAGGCUUUGUCAUGUACGCUAUGACUUGUACUCGCCCUGAUGUGGCCUUCGCUUUGAGCAUGGCCAACAUAUAUCAGGGGAACCCAGGUAGAGCUCAUUGGAUAGCGGUAAAGAAUAUUCUUAAGUACCUACGAAGGACCAAGGAAUGGUUUCUAGUCCUCGGUGGGAGUGACAACUUGAGGGUACGAGGGUACAGUGACGCUAGUUUUCAGAUGGAUCGGGAUAAUUACCGAUCGCAGUCGGGCUGGGUCUUUACCCUAAAUGGAGGAGCAGUGACUUGGAAAAGUUCCAAGCAGGAGACUGUAGCUAAUUCAACGUGCGAAUUAGAGUACAUUGCGACAAGCGAAGCGUUGAAGGAGGCUAUAUGGUUGAAGAACUUCAUUGGAGACCUUGGAGUUAUGCCAUCCAUAAAGGAGCCGAUGGAAUUUUUCUGUGAUAAUGAAGGAGCGGUUGCCUUAACCAAGGAACCAAUAGAUCAUGGUAGAUCUCGACAUACCGACAGAAAAUACCAUUUUAUCAGACAUCGGGUAGAAGAGGGACUCCUCGUUGUGAAGUGGGUAUCAUUAGAAGAAAAUCCAACAGAUCCCCUUAUGAAAGGACUGAGUAGGGUCAAACAUUUGCAGCACACUAGGAGCAUUGGGCCGAAAGAUGAUAUAAGUUUGGAUUAGAUAGGAAACGUGUAAUAGAUAGUUUGUACUUGACAUUUGGUGAAUAAAUAAAGUUGUGUUAUUUAUAAGUAAAGUUACUAUCUUGUGUUGGUUAUUUAUCUAUUGUUUCAAAUUUUUGCAUGUUUUGACUUCCUGAAUAAUAAGAUUAUUCAAACGAUCCAUUGUCUAAAAGGUUUUGGGCAUAACAAAGGUUUGCUGAAAAGUUCAUGAGUGCUUAUGAAUUUGAUUUGAGCAUUGGAAUAAACCCGCGUUUGAUGGUAUCACUUCGUGGUGUUUUACCUUAAGUGAUCGCAAAGUGAUAAUAUCAUAUAGUCUUAAAACUUAGAGAUAUGAUUAUUGUUUGCUGGUUGGUUAUGCAUUGAUGAUGUGUAAACGCAUCAGUAACUUGAUGUUAUAAAACAUAUUGUUGUGCAUGAUUCAAUUAGUGAAUAAUAGACGCAUAUGAGUCGAAGUUGAUCUGUUCCUUUUAUUCUAUGAGAAUAAAAGUGAUAUCUUGGCCACUUGAUGAUUUGGUUUGACUUAUAUGCCGGGCCCGGUCAGAAUGAGGUUGAUGUGUUCAAUUAAAUUCUAUGUCAAACAAAUCAGAGAUCAAGAAACAAAUGAUGGACAAUAAGCUUUGUCAGCAUGAUAUCUAGAACAGAGGAUUAUACGAUCCCUUAUCUAAAGGACAAACUGAUCAGAGUUGACAGCGAAGUAUAAGAGCUACAAUUGCUAAUCAGAUUCUGAAGUCAUAUGUGAGAUACAAUUACUAGAGUUAUCCAAGUGGGAGACUGUUGGAAUAGUGUCUAAGCCCAUAACUAUAUUUGGUAUGUACUUGACCCAGUUGUGCAUGGUCCUUUUGGGUUGGCUUCACCAAAGCAACUUGACAAGGUAAUUAAAGGAGAAAGAGAGAAUCUUAUGAUUUAUUAAUAUAUUAUAAGAAUAAUAUAUUAAAGGAGAAAUCAUUUUAUUUAAUUAGUAUUAGUCAUAAAUUACUUAGAAAUUAAUUUGGUGACUAAAAGAGAUUAAUUAAAUAAAGGGGUAUAAAUUGUCAAAUGUAUGAUUGUUAAGUUUUGGGCUAAGGAAGCCUAAUGGGCUUAAGCGGGAACGAAAUUAUGAUGGGGAUCCAUCAUAUUUUCGUCCAAAGCCUUAUUCCAGAAGGUUCCUUGGGCUGCUUGGUGUUUAAGCUGUCCAUUAGGGUUUAGACUGAAACCCUAGCAGCCUGCAAGUAUAAAUAAGACCCCUAGGCUUUGGAGAUCGGCUACACAUGCUUCUAAGAGAACCCUAGGGCCGAUUUCAGCAACUCUCAUCCUUUCUCAUAUUUCCUUCUUGCUUUUGGGGUUUGUAAACCAUUAGAGGAGUUACAAUUGUGAAUCUAAGCUCAAGAUCAAGAAGAUUACAAGGAUUUCAAGCUACUUGGAAGAGGUAAACACUUGGACCUAUUUUCUUUAUGAUAAUUUCAAAUUAUAUAUGAGAGAUCUAGGUUUGUAAGUCUUGGAUUCAAAGCAUGUACAAUAGAGAAACCUAGAUCCAAGCAUUAGGGUUUGUAUGAGCACAUAUGAUUGUUUCUUACACAUAAAACUCAUCAAUAAUCACGCUGACACUAGCAUAACAAUUAUGUUCUUCCCAGCAUAACAAUUAUGCUCCCACUAGUUUUGACAUGGACUCAGCAAUCAGCUGGACUUCAAAAAAAAUAUAUUAAUUGACUUUCAAAAGUUCAUAUUUCUGAUACAUGGUGCUUCGAUAAGUCUUUAUCUAGACUUAUUAAUCCUAUACAACUUUCAUUAGACAACUUAUGUGUGCGUCUAAACCUAUUCAAAACUUAUAGCAAUAAGUCUUGAAUGUUCAAAGUAUUUGCCAUUUCUCACAAUUUGAACUGUGAAGAGGGAUGUCGUAAUCAUAUUCGAAUUUGAGAACACAAUUAUCACAACUACUAACUGCAAUCCCAUAAAGUCUAGUAGUGAAAGCAUUUCGUCACAAUCAUUUUCAUGAAGUAGAGAGAAACCUAUUGCCACUUAGAUUUUAUGGUGUAUGUGUUCCUAUCCAUGUGAACUUGUUAUUUCGAACCACUAUCAUAAGACAAGGUUUAUGAAAAAUUCAAAUUCAUAUGGACUGUAUUCUUAAUUUCUUGCCAUCCGGUAGCACAAGGGCCUACCAGUGCUUCCAGGUUAUUGAGCAGGUCACCCACACUAAUUAAUGUACUUUCACUAAUCAAGGUGCUUGGCCUGAUGCAGUCAAAUGAGAACUCAUAGGAAUCACAUGCUUAGUCAACUUAACUUGAUUAGGUACACAAAUAAGAAUAUGUCAACACGAUAGGUUGUUAACCUCAGGUCGUGUGCUAGUGAUAACCAAACAAUUUAUUCUUGUUUAGUUCUUGAAACUAUUAAAGACAACUUAAGACUCCUACUAACCUCUUGAUAUAUAAGAUUCUCUGUAAGGGAACAUUCGUUGACAAACAAAUAUUCAAGAGUUAGUGCGGGUUCUUAUCAAGAAACACUUCAUAUAAUUGGUCUUUGUUUUAGCCAAAACAUCACAAUUACCAAUUUCAAAUGUGCAAGAGUAAGAAACAUUUCUACUCCACAUUUCAUGAGGUGUUAUAACCCUACUUAAAACAUGUCACUUAAGUAUAACUUGGAGUAACUAGAGUAUGACUCUAAGAAUCGAUUUUGGAAUAAAGUACGACUCAUCUUUUUGAUUUAACCAUUUCAACAACUCCUUAUUCCUCUUCUUAGUUAUGUAAAUGUACUAAGGUGUCCAUAGAGGAUCAAUUGUGACAUGGUCCCUAAAUCCUUAAGAUGAUCAUAAAACACGAUAACUAUCAGUAAAUCAUGAUGAUAGACUUAUCGUCCUUUGUGGUGGAUCUGACCAGUGUACAUCAAUGUGUACUAGAUCUUUUAGUCCUUCACUUGACUCACAUACAAAUGUGAACAAGGAAUCAAUCCCAAUUUCCGAAGGAUCAAGAUUCUCAUCCAUCACGCAAUUCAAAUCAUAUGAUUCCAAGUUUCUAUCCAAUUGAAACUUGGGUGAUGAGAAUCCUUCCUUACUUGGCAAAUUACGACACUACCACAAACGAUAUAACCAUCUUGAUGUUCCUGCCCAGUGGAUUCUCCACUUCUUGCUUAAACUCUUUGAAUUUCUCAUAUGUUUCUGACUUAUGCUUGAUUAAAUAGAUAUAUCCAUAUCUACUACAAUCAUCAGUAAAGUCACAUAAUCCCAAUUAACAUCCCUUGUGGCAGUUUUGAAGGGUCCACACACAUCAGUGUGUAUGAGGUCCAACAAACCCUCACCCCUCUCACAAGAACCAGUGAAGUGUGACUUUGUCAUUUUUCUAAGUAAACAAGAUUCACAACUAUCAUCCGACUUUAGGUCAAAUGAUUCCAAAACUCCAGCCUUUUGGAGUUGGCCCAUGCGCUUCUUGUUAACAUGUCCAAGAUGACAAUGCCACAGGUAUGCUUUGUCUAAGCUAUCUGAAGAAUCAAUACACAACAUAUUAUUUCCAAGAUUAUCUACAACAUUCACAACUUCAUAUACACCAUCACAAGGUAAUGCUUUAAAGUAAGAUACAUCAUUGUAAUCAACAUUAAUAGCACCAUUAUCAUUAUCAAAUAAAAAGGAAAAACCUUGUUUGUACAAGCCAUGAAAGGAAAUAAUAUUUCUCGCCAUUUCAGACGUGUAACAACAUUUAUUCAAAUCUAACAUUAACCCAUUAUUAAGCAACAAAGAAUAAACUCCUAUCUUGCUAAUAGGUGACGCUUUCCUAUUCCCAUGAUUAAGUUUAUCUUCCCGUGCUCCACUUUCUCACUUCUUCUUAGGCCCUGCAAAUCAGUACAAAUGUGAAUACCACAACCUGUAUCAAGCACCCAAGAAUUAGUAGGUAAUGAGUUAUUAGACAAUAUAGUGUAAAUAACUGCAUGCAUGAGUUUAACUUUCCCAUCCUUUACAUCCUGCAAGUGUUUGGGGCAGCUUCGCUUCCAGUGCCCCUUUUCCUGGCAGUAGAAGCAUUAUGCUUCCUUUGGGCUUGAAGAAGGAGGAAUGGAACCUUUCUUGGUUCCACUUGAAGAGGAGCCAUCAAGAGACUUUCCCUUGGUACCCUUCUAAGGGGUCUUUCUCUUCUUCCCCUUUCCCUGUCCAAUCGCCAAGACAGGAGCAGUAGUAGAAGUACGAGUAACAACUGAUUUACUUUUAAGGCCACUUUCAGCGGUCCUUAAAAGUCCUUGAAGCUUACUUAGUGUGACUUCCUCCUUGUUCAUAUGAUAAGUCAUACGAAACUGAUCAUAACGUGGAGGUAAGGAAUGGAGAAUGAUGUCAAUCGCCAUGUCCUCAACAAAGUCCACAUUAAGCUUCUGUAACCGGUUCACGAACCUUUGCAUUUUCUGCAAGUGACCGAUGAGGGUUCUCCUUCUUUCAUCCUAGCCGUUAUCAUGGAGGAAAUGAUUUCAUACCUCUCCUGACAAGCACUCUGAUGGUACCUAUCCAUCAUAUCCUGGUGCAUCUCAAAAGGGUAAAAAUCUUCAUAGGAUUUCUGGAGUUCUGCUAUCAUUGUAGCCAACAUGAUGCAGGACACCUUAGUGGCAUCUUUCUCAUGGGUAGUGUACUCAACAAUCUCCUCAGGAGUAGCAGUCGACUCAUCGAUAACCUUAAGCUCCUUAUUGAGGACAUACUCUUUGCCCUCAUAGCGAGUAAUCAUUCUGAUGUUCCUAAUCCAUUCAUUGAAAUUGGAACCAUCAAAAGUGAUUUUCCCAUAGAAGUUUAUCAGGGAAAAGGACCCUGUAGGGGUUGAGCCAGUAGUAGUGUUGGAAGACAUCUAAAAAGAAAGAAAGACAAGUUUUAUUAGAUAAAGAGUCCUUAAUAAGUCACCUAAAUGAAAUAUUAAGGCUAGGACCCAACGAACUAUUUAUAGUUGGAAGAGGGAUGCCGUAAUCCAAGUUAUAAAAUAUUUGAAGGUAGGUAAAUGACGAUUUGCCAAUUUCCACCACCAAAACGAAAUAGAUUAUUAAGUUUUAUUGGAUUUGAAAUUCCUAGAUCUUUUGAGAUACAUUGAACUUUCAAUGAAAUGUUUGAAUCUCAAUUUUGCCCUCUCAAGUUUGUGACUGGGAUGUCGAGGAUCACAAACAAGGUGUGAAUAACCAUGCAAAUUGACUUGGUACCCUUAACUUUUAUCACCUAAUCGAUGUGCCGGUUAACCACACGCGCUCCACCGAUCUAUGAUAAAGUUAAGUUACCCUUUGCCAUCCUUACCAGUCCUUGUUAGUGUGCCGUUUAACCACACACACUCCACUAACGACUUGAUAAGGUACAAAGUGUAUUAACACCGAUUUCACAUUUUCCUAAAGCAACUAAGAUUGAGAAUUAUUAAAACGUAGUUACUUUAUAAUUUCAUUAUACUUUUAAUGAGGAUUUAAAGUCCUUGUCCUAACCGUUUGGCUAACGACCCUCCACCGGUCAAGGAAGCGGUGGGUGAGAGUGAACACCAAUUAAGCUGCCAUUUUAUAGGCAAUGACCUUAUACCCCCCCUUAUAGACCCGCUUCGUGAAUGAGGCCUACUAACGGUAAGACUGACUUAUUCUUAUACAUAUCUAUAUAUUUAAACUUUUAAUACAAUAAUAGUAUAAGGGUUGAAUUUUAAAUUUGUAAAAUUCUAAGGUUCAAUUUGGAAAUUAAAGUAUUAGGGUGUAAGACUUUACAAAUUCCAAAACAUGAGGGCUAGUAUUGAAACUAUUCAAGACUUUUCAUUUCAUAAUUUAUGAGUUUAAUGGUCCAUUAAAGUGAAGACUCUUCACUUUAUGUAACCUCUUAUUCUUUAAUUACACUUUAAAGAAGUGACUUUUGGUUAUCCAUAACUUGAGGACAAGUUAUGGACUCCAUCAUUAGCCAUUAAGAUCAAGAAUCAUCCUUACAAGCAAGUUACACAUAAUUCCUAUGAUCUUCUAAAACUCAUAAAAACAUGAACAUUUAUAUCAAAAUUUCAAGAAUCAUAUUAACACAUAUAAAAUAUGGAAUUUUGAUAUUAGCCAUUGUAAAUGGAUUAGCAUAAGCAUUACACCAACUAAAACAAGUUUUAAAACACCAAAACAGUUUAGGGUAAUGUUUCUAGUCCAUUUCCAGCAACAAAACUCAAAAAUCUGCAUUCAGGGGCUCCUACUCGUUGAGUGCAUGAACCUACUCAUCGAGUAGGAUGAAUUUUCACAUGGACUCGUCGAGUCCCCCCAUGGACUCGACAAGUUCAUGCUGUAGAGUCCAGAUUUUUGAAUUUUUUCAACAUGUUUACAUCAAGUAUCAAGAAAACAAGCCUAGUAUCUGAUACCACUGUUGGGAUUUGAGCAUUCUAACACUCCUAUGGUGUACAUGCAACCCUAGAAACCUUGGAUCUAUGUUUUCUCUAAAUACAUGCAAAUUUGAUUUUCCAAGGUUUACUUCCUAUCUAGCAUGUUAUGGGGAACUUGUAAUACAAAACUCAAUUAGAAGAACAUACCUUUUAGUAGCUUGGAUUCCUUGAUGACUUUGUGAGCCUAGCCCCCCAAAUGUGAUGCCUCAAAUGCUUCACACAACACCACAAUUCUUGGAAUAAGCUUGAGAGAAGUUCACUAUACUCUAAAAUCUGUUAGCCCUCUUACUUGCUUGUAGUAGUGUCGAUUUUACUUGCAUGGGAUUCUUUAUAUAGUUGUGGCACAAGUAGGGUUACACCAUGUAAAACCUAAUUGUCAUGGCUUUCCAUAUUCCAUGAUCCAUGGGUUUGUAACCUCCAUGAACUAUCCAUGGAGCACCUUAUGGGUUUUAAGCCAAUCCAUAUAAACCAUGGAUCAUUAGCCCACUAUAAAAGAAUAGAUUAUUUACACAAUCAACCCCAUAUAUUUAGUUAGUCUCUUUAUGAUCACUUAAUUAAUUCUAGAUUAAUUCUUUGAUCAAUACUAAUUAAAUAAUAUUAUUAAUAUAUUAGUACUUAUAAUAUUUUAAUAACCUUAAGUGUCCUUUCUCUCAUUUUGGUCUAUCCAAGUAUUGCAAUGCCAUGAAACCCAAAUGGACCAUGUCGGGUCGAGUCAAGUACAUACCAAAUAUAGUUAUGGUCUUAGACAAUAUAUCCAACAGGCUCCCACUUGGAUAAGUCUAAUAACUAUAGUUGUAGAUAUGACUUCAGAAUCCGACUAGCAAUCGUAGCUCUUUCGAAGUCUCUUGGAAAUAAGAUGAUGAUGAUGAUGAUACACCAUUUAAGAUAAGUUAUCAUAUAAUCCUCUGCUCUCAAUAUAUUAGCCAGACAAAUACAUGGAACAUGGUCUUACUUAUUGUCCAACAUUUGUUUCUUGAUCUCUGACCCGUUUGACAUAGAACUAAAUUGAACACAUCAAUUAGGUCCUGACCAGGCCCGGUACAUAGGUCAAAACAAAAUCAUCGAGGGGCCCAAAUAUCACUUCAAAUCCAAGAAGGAACAGAUAAAGUUCGACUCAUAUGCUUGUACUGACUACUUAUUGAAUUCUGCACAAAAGCACAUUUUAUAACAUCGAGUUACCAAUGCGUUUUCAUACAACCAAAGUAUAACCAACUCAUAGUCAACAACUCAUAUCUCUGGGUUUGAAGAUUUAUAUGAUAUUACCUUCUCGAGAUAAAUUCCAUGAAGUGAUACAAGUGAAAGUGGGUUGAGUCCAAUACUCAGGCCUUAUGAGCACUCAUGAAUGUUGCAGCAACCAUUGCUAUGUCUAAUACACCUUAGACAAUCUACAAACCCAAUUAAUGACAGUCUUAAUUCAAUACCUACUUCCAAAGUAUGACUGACUGUGGAGAGUUUGAAUAAUAUAAUUAUUCUGGAAGUCAAAACAUGCAAAAUUAAAACAAUAGUAAACGAUUAACAUAAGAUACUAACACUUCACUCAUAAAUAAACAAAAAAUUUUAUUUAAUCAUCAAAUGUCAAUUACAUUUUACAAGUUUCAAAACUAUCUAAUUAUUAAAACUAAUAUCAUCCUUCAAACCGAUGUGCCUUGCAUGUUGUAAAUGCUUAACCCUACUCAGUCCCUUCGUUAGGGGAUUUGCUGGGUUCUUAUCUGAUGAUACCCUUUUUGCCACGAGGAGUCCUUCUUCUAUUCGAUGUCUAAUGAAAUGGUAUUUUCUGUCAAUGUGUCUGGAUCUCCCGUGAUCCCUUGGUUCUUUAGCUAAGGCAACCGCACUUUCGCUGUCACAGAAAAUUUCCAUUGGCUCUGUUAUAGCUGGUACAACUCCAAGGUCUCCAAUGAAGUUCUUUAGCCAUAUCUCCUCCUUUGCUGCCUCACUUGCUGCUAUAUACUCUGAUUCGCAAGUUGAAUCAACUUCCGUCUCCUGCUUGGAACUUUUCCAAGUAAUUGCUCCUCUAUUUAGGAUAAAGACCCAGCCUGACUGAGAGCGGAAAUUAUCCCUAUCAGUCUGAAAGCUAGCAUUGCUAUAUCCUACCACUCUCAAGUCAUCACUGCCACCAAGGGUAAGGACCCAGUCCUUAGUCCUUCACAUAUACUUGAGAAUGUUCUUUAUUAUAGUCCAGUGAGCCUUGCUUGGGUUCCCUUGAUAUAUACUGACCAUGCUCAAAGCAAAGUCCACAUCAGGGCGAGUACAAUUCAUAGCAUACAUGAUUGAGCCCACAACGGAAGCAUAUGGUACAUGACUCAUCUCAUCUAUCUCAACCUCUAUACUUGGACUCCGAGUCUUACUCAGUUUGGCGUAACUCUGAAUUAGUAAUUCCCUUUUCUUGGAAUCCUGCGUACUGAACCUCUUCAGUACCUUAUCCAAGUCAGUACUCUAACAAAGUCCAAUUAGUCUUGUACUCUUGUCUCUCAAUAUCAUUAUCUCUAGGAUAUAGGCAGCUUCCCCAAGGUCCUUCAUAGAGAAACACUUCCCAGGCCUGGACUUCACCUCUUGCAAGGUUGGGAUGUCAUUUCCUAUGAGUAUUAUGUCAUCCACAUACAACACAAAAAGCUAACUAUACUCCCAGUAGCCCUAACAUAUACACAUGACUCAUCAUCACUCCUUGAAAAGCCAAAGUCUUUGACUUUCUCAACGAAGCAAAGAUUCCAUCUACGAGGUGCUUGUUUCAACCCAUAGAUGGAUUUCUCAAGCUUAUACACCUUAUUAGGGUUCUCUGUACUAACAAAACCCUCUAGCUGACUCAUGUAAACAUCGUCAGCCAACUUUCCAUUGAGGAAAGCGGUUUUGACAUCCAUUUGGCAUAUUUCAUAGUCAUGAAAUGUAGCAAUGGUUAACAUAACCCUAAUAGACUUAAUAUUUGCUACUGGUGAAAAGGUCUCAUCAUAAUCAACUCCCGGACUUUGAGAAUAGCCUUUUGCAACCAGUCGCGCCCUAUAAGUGUGUACGCUACCAUCCAUGUCAGUCUUCUUCUUGAAGAUCCAUUUGCACCCGACUGUCUUACGACCUGGUACAUUGUCAACCAAGUUCCAAACUUGAUUGUCAUACAUGGACUGUAUCUCUCUGUCCAUAGCCUCUUUCCAUUUAGCAGCCUCAGGGCCUGCCAUGGCUUCCGUGUAGCUGUUAGGUUCAUUGAGACUUACCAGUGUACUAUCAUUGAUACGUGUAUCACCUUCCACAGUAACAUGGAAACAUUGUAAUGCUCAGGUGCAUUCCUAACUCUUCUAGAACGCCUUAGAGGUAUGGGCUCGUCAGUCGGAUCAACAGGAGUUUCCUACUCAGGUUGAUUACUAGGGUUUAAGGUUCCUUCAUCACUUGAUUCUUGAAUUUCUUCAAGGUCAAUUUGCCUCCCACUGUCUCCUUGGCUUAUGAACUCUCUCUCACGAAAGACUCCUCUCCUUGCUACAAAGACCACAUUAUCAAUGGGUCUGUAGAAGAGGCAACUGAAGGAUCUCUGUGGGUAGCUGAUGAAAAUACACCUCUUACUUUGAGGUUCGAGCUUAUCAUGAGACUCACGCCUCAUGAAUUCCUCACAACCCGAAAUCUUGAUGUGGUCCAAAUUGGGAACUUUCCCAGUCCCCAACGCAUGAGGUGUUUUGUCAACCUUUUUAGUAGGGACUAGAUUCAGUAUAUGGGCGACAGUCUCUAAUGCAUACCCCCAGGAUGAGAAUGGUAACGAAGCUCAACUCAUCAUGGAACAAACUAUGUCCAACAAGGUUCAAUUUCGCCUCUCAGCCACACCAUUCAACUGUGGUGUCCUAGGAGGUGUAAAUUGUGAGACAAUCCCACAUUGCUUAAGAUAGUCAAGGAACUAGAUACUAAGAUACUCUACUCCCCGAUCGGAUCAGAGCAUCUUGAUGUUCCUGCCCAAUUGAUUCUCCACUUCCUGCUUAAAAUCUUUGAAUUUCUCAUAGGUUUCUGACUUAUGCUUGAUUAAAUAGAUAUAUCCGUAUCUACUAUAAUCAUCAGUAAAGUCACAUAAUACCGAUUAGCAUCCCUUGAGGCAGUUUUGAAGGGUCCACACACAUCAGUGUGUAUGAGGUCCAACAAACCCUCACCCCUCUCACAAGAACCAGUGAAGGGUGACUUUGUCAUUUUUCCAAGUAAACAAUAUUCAAAACUAUCAUCCGACUUUAGGUCAAAUGAUUCCAAAACUCCUGCCUUUUGGAGUUGGCCCAUGUGCUUUUUGUUAACAUGUCCAAGACAACAAUGCCACAGGUAUGCUUUGUCUAAGCUAUCUGAAGAAUCAAUACACAACAUAUUAUUUCCAAGAUUAUCUACAACAUUCACAACUUCAUAUACACCAUCACAAGGUAAUGCUUUAAAGUAAGAUACAUCAUUGUAAUCAACAUUAAUAGCACCAUUAUCAUUAUCAAAUAAAAAGGAAAAACCUUGUUUGUACAAGCCAUGAAAGGAAAUAAUAUUUCUCGCCAUUUCAGACGUGUAACAACAUUUAUUCAAAUCUAACAUUAACCCAUUAUUAAGCAACAAAGAAUAAACUCCUAUCUUGCUAAUAGGUGACGCUUUCCUAUUCCCAUGAUUAAGUUUAUCUUCCCGUGCUCCACUUUCUCACUUCUUCUUAGGCCCUGCAAAUCAGUACAAAUGUGAAUACCACAACCUGUAUCAAGCACCCAAGAAUUAGUAGGUAAUGAGUUAUUAGACAAUAUAGUGUAAAUAACUGCAUGCAUGGGUUUAACUUUCCCAUCCUUUACAUCCUGCAAGUGUUUGGGGCAGCUUCGCUUCCAGUGCCCCUUUUCCUGGCAGUAGAAGCAUUAUGCUUCCUUUGGGCUUGAAGAAGGAGGAAUGGAACCUUUCUUGGUUCCACUUGAAGAGGAGCCAUCAAGAGACUUUCCCUUGGUACCCUUCGAAGGGGUCUUUCUCUUCUUCCCCUUUCCCUGUCCAAUCGCCAAGACAGGAGCAGUAGUAGAAGUACGAGUAACAACUGAUUUACUUUUAAGGCCACUUUCAGCGGUCCUUAAAAGUCCUUGAAGCUUACUUAGUGUGACUUCCUCCUUGUUCAUAUGAUAAGUCAUACGAAACUGAUCAUAACGUGGAGGUAAGGAAUGGAGAAUGAUGUCAAUCGCCAUGUCCUCAACAAAGUCCACAUUAAGCUUCUGUAACCGGUUCACGAACCUUUGCAUUUUCUGCAAGUGACCGAUGAGGGUUCUCCUUCUUUCAUCCUAGCCAUUAUCAUGGAGGAAAUGAUUUCAUACCUCUCCUGACAAGCACUCUGAUGGUACCUAUCCAUCAUAUCCUGGUGCAUCUCAAAAUGGUAGAAAUCUUCAUAGGAUUUCUGGAGUUUUGCUAUCAUUGUAGCCAGCAUGAUGCAGGACACCUUAGUGGCAUCUUUCUCAUGGGUAGUGUACUCAACAAUCUCCUCAGGAGUAGCAGUCGACUCAUCGAUAACCUUAAGCUCCUUAUUGAGGACAUACUCUUUGCCCUCAUAGCGAGUAAUCAUUCUGAUGUUCCUAAUCCAUUCAUUGAAAUUGGAACCAUCAAAAGUGAUUUUCCCAUAGAAGUUUAUCAGGGAAAAGGACCCUGUAGGGGUUGAGCCAGUAGUAGUGUUGGAAGACAUCUAAAAAGAAAGAAAGACAAGUUUUAUUAGAUAAAGAGUCCUUAAUAAGUCACCUAAAUGAAAUAUUAAGGCUAGGACCCAACGAACUAUUUAUAGUUGGAAGAGGGAUGCCGUAAUCCAAGUUAUAAAAUAUUUGAAGGUAGGUAAAUGACGAUUUGCCAAUUUCCACCACCAAAACGAAAUAGAUUAUUAAAUUUUAUUGGAUUUGAAAUUCCUAGAUCUUUUGAGAUACAUUGAACUUUCAAUGGAAUGUUUGAAUCUCGAUUUUGCCCUCUCAAGUUUGUGACUGGGAUGCCAAGGAUCACAAACAAGGUGUGAAUAACCAUGCAAAUUGACUUUGUACCCUUAACUUUUAUCACCUAAUCGAUGUGCUGGUUAACCACACGCGCUCCACCGAUCUAUGAUAAAAUUAAGUUACCCUUUUCCACCCUUACUAGUCCUUGUUAGUGUGCCGAUUAACCACACACACUCCACUAACGACUUGCUAAGGUACCAAGUGUAAUUACAUGGGUUAACACCUAUUUCACAUUUUCCUAAAGUAACUAAGAUUGGGAAUUAUUAAAACGUAGUUACUUUAUAAUUUCAUUAUACUUUUAAUGAGGAUUUAAAGUCCUUGUCCUAACCGUUCGGCUAACGACCCUGCACCGGUCAAGGAAGCGGUGGGGGAGAGUGAACACCCAUUAAGCUGCCAUUUUAUAGGCAACAACCUUAUACCCCCCUUAUAAACCGGCUUCGUGAAUGAGGCCUACUAACGGUAAGACUGAUAAGUGGCUUCCGUGUAGCUGUUAGGUUCAUCGAGACUUACCAGUGUACUAUCACUGAUAAGUGUAUCACCUUCCGUUUAGCUGUUAGGUUCAUCGAGACACGAUUCAUGAUGUCUCACAUAAAGACUCAACCAGUCUUUUGCUAUAAUAUUUCCAUUUAAAUUUGCGAAGUUCUCAUAAUUCAGAUUUUGAAAAGGGAUGUCGUAGUCAUAAUUGAAUUUUAGAACGCAAAUAAUGGACCCAUAUAUAGAAAUUUUCUUAUGUUGAGCCAUUCCAACAUAACAUUCAUAUAUAUACUUGACUAAAUUUGAUUAAAAUCUCACGGUCUAAGCUUAUAGAUUUGAGAUGAAGUAUAAUUUCCUCUCCCUUAAUUAUAGCAAAACAACUUUUUCAACUCCUGCAGCCUCAUGAAUUGAAACUUUUGUUUUCUAUAAUUAACAUUGCUAACUUGCAAUACUUAUUAUGAUGCUCCCAAUAACAUGAUGAUUAUUAGCAUAACACUUAUGCUCCCACUAGCUUUGACAUGUACUCAGAAAUCAGCUGGACUUCUAGAAAAAACAAUACUUUAUUGACACUCUUACCAAAGUUCAGAUUUCUGAUACUAGAUUGCUUUGAUAAAACUUUAUCAAUAUCAUACACCUUAUCUUAGAUAGCUCACAUGUGUGUCUAAACAAUUUAAGAACUAUGAAAAGGGAUGUCGUAAUCAUAGUCUCAAUUGUUUAGACCUUUGCCACUUCUCACAAGUCCAUGUUAGUGUGCCGGUUAACCACAGACGCUCCACUAACGACUUUGAGAAUGCAACUAUCACAAUUGCUAUCUAGUUAAAAUCUUCUUAGUGAAAGUGUUUCCUCACCAUCAUUUUCAUGAAUCAGAGAGAAACCUUAUGACACUUAGAUUUAAUGGUGUAUGUGUUCCUAUCAAUGUGCAUUUGUCAAAACUAUAAUCACAAGAGAAGGAUAAUGACAAAUCCAAACUCAUAUGGACUGAAACCAAUCUGAAUUUCUUGCCAUCUGGCAGCUCAAGGGCCUGCCAUUGCUUCCAAGUAGCUAUGCAAACAAUUGAGAACAUGUAGAACUCAAAUGUAUAGCCAACUUAAUUGGAAUGGGCACAAAAAUAGAAUAUGUCAACUGUUGGAUUAAUGUUUAAGUCCAUAACUAUAAUUGGUAAGACUUGACCCGACCCGGCAUGGUCUAUUUGGGUUGCAUGGCACUUGGAUAAACUACAAUGAGAGAAAUAACGCUUAAGGUUGAUUAAUAUAUUAUAAGUUCUAGUAUAUUAAUAAUAUUAUUUAAUUAGUAUUGAUCAAGAAUUAAUCAAGUAUUAAUUAAGUGAUCAAAAGAAGACUAAUUAAAUAUAUGGGUUGAUUGUGUAAAUCAUCCAUACUUAUAUAGUGGGCUAAUGCUCCAUGGAUUGUCAAGUUGGGCUAAUCCAUAAGAUGCUCCAUGGAAGCUCUAUGGUGUAUUUGUACCCAUGGAUCAUGGAAAUCAAAUGCCAUGACAAUUAGGGUUUACAUGGUGUAACCCUAACUAUAUAAUGAUCUUAUUGUUGGAGAAAAUCGGUCACUAUGUGUGGAAAAAAAGGGCUAGCCGAUUUUCAUGGAGUGUUCAAGUUUCUCUCAAGUUAUUCCAAGUGUAUUUGGUGUUGUGUGAACCAUUUAAGGUGUCACACUUGAGUCACUAGGCACUCAAGCUUCAAGAAUACAUUCUACAUAAAAGAGGUAUGUAUUAUAUCUUGUUAUAUUCAUUGUUUUGUAUGCUAGAUUAGGAUAAUACCUUGGAUGUUCAUAUUUGUAUGUAUAAUAGAGAAAAACAUAGAUCCAAGGUAUUUAGGGUUGCAUGUACACUUAGGAGUGUUAGAAUGUUCAAAACCCAAUAGUGCUAUCUGAGCCUAGGCUUGUUUUCUUGUUAUACUUGCAAAAGUAGCUGAAAAAUUGAGUUUUGAUGCUGUCUGUACAGCAGACUCGCCGAGUCCAAGGCAAAAUGCAUCCAACUCGCCGAGUUGGUUCGUGCACUCGACGAGUUGGACCCCCUGACAGCAUAUAUUCAAUUGUUUUGGCUGGAAAUGGACUAGGAACAUUACCCUAAGAUGUUUUUGGACUUAUAAACUUGUUUUUGAUGUGGUAAUGUUCAUGCUAAUCCAAUUUCAAAGAUAAUUGUCAUAAUUUCAAGAUUUGUAUUAGUUUGUAUGUUCAUGCUAAUUUCUUGAAGAUUGAUGAUUUGAAUUAUCUUGUUCUUAUGAGGUUCUUAGAUUAAUAGAAAAGUUGUGUGAAAUAGUUGUUUUUAAUCCAUUUUAAUCUAAGAGUUGAUUCCAAAGUGUGUUUUUGUAACUUGUCCUCAAGUUAUAUGAAAAGUCACAUUUAAAAAUCAUAAAACUCAUAAAAGUUGGCAAAGGUUACAAAAUGAAGAGUCUAAUUCUAAUUAAAUGGUUUUAUGACUCCAUUACUUGUCCUCAGGUUAUGGAGGUUCAAGAGUCUCUUCAUUAAAUAAUAAUAAUAAAAAAGUGUAACCUUAAUUAGUUCCAUAAGUAACAAUAAAAAAAGUUAUUUUUUAUUAAUUAGUUUAAAAUCUUCCAUAACUUGUCCUCAAGUUAUGGAACUUGAAGACUUUUUUAAUUAAAACUACUUUAAACACAUAAGUUAUGGAAUUAAAUAGUGUUGAAUAGUUUCAAAACUUGCCCUCAAGUUUUGGAAUUUGAAAAGUUUUCUCUUAUGAAUACUUUAAUUCCAAGUUAGCCCUUAGAAUUUUAAAAGUUAAAAUUCAACCCUUAUACUUUAUAAUAUUAUAAGUUAAUANUAUAUAUAUAUAUAUAUAUAUGUAUGUAUGUAUGUAUAAGAGUAAAGUCAGUCUUACCGUUAGUAGGCCUCAUUCAUGAAGCCGGUCUAUAAUGGGGGGUAUAAGGUUACUGCCUAUAAAAUGGCAGUUUAAUGGGUGUCCACUCUCACCCACCGCUUCCUUGACUGGUAGAGGGUCGUUAGCCGAACGGGUAGGACAAGGACUAGAAAUCUCCCUUCGUUAAAAGUAUUAAUGAUAAAUACUAAGUAACUAAACCUUUUAUAAAUACCCAAUAUUAGUUACUUAGGAAAAUGUGAAUUUGGUGCUAACCCAUGAAAUUACACUUUGCACUUUGCUUAAGUCGUUAGUGGAGCGUGUGUGGUUAACCGGCACACUAACCUGGACUUAACAAGGUAGGCAAAGGGUAACUUAAUAUUUAUCAUAGUAUCAGUGGAGCGUGUGUGGUUAACCGACACAUCAAUUAAGGGGUAAAUAUUAAGUGUACCAAGUGAAUUUGAAUGGUUAUUCACACCUUGUUUUGUGAUCCUCGGCAUCCCAGUCACAAAAACUGAUGGGCACACUCGAGAUUGAAACAUGCCUUUGAACAGUUCAAUGAAUCUCAAAGAUCUAGGAGUUUCAAAUCCAAUUAAAACCUAAUAAAUUAUUUCAUUUUUCAUGGUUGAAAUUGGUGAAUCGUCAUUCACCUACCUUCAAAUAUUUUAUAGCUUGGAUUACGGCAUCCCUCUUCUAAUUAUAAAAUAGUUUGUUGGGUCCUAGCCUUAAUAUUUCAUAUUGGGUGUCAUAUUAAGGACUUUAAAUCAACUAUCUUGAAUAUCUCCCAAAAAUAUAUCUGGUCUAGACAUUUAUGAUCUUCCCAAAUCUCUUGAAACAAGCUUUCCUAAAUAAAGAUGAUGUCCCAUGGAUAUCAUACUUCUUUCACCUCCUCCAGAUAUUCUCCCUAACCCACAAGUUCUUGAAAAAUUUAAGGUCACUCACGACCUAUUGGCAAGCAAUGUCUAUGUGUGAUCACAUGUUGGGAAUGUAGUCACAUAUUGACAAGCCGGGAGAGUUGGGUGUCAAAGUCUACAGAAAGUGGAUGUUCAAUCACUUUCUAAGUCACAUAGGGAAUUCCUUUGGGACUCCUAUGGAACAGACUAUGACAAGACCCUUAAUGAUCUUAUCUAUUUGCUUGGUGCUGCUAAAACAGAAAUGGUUUGAUGUACUAGUAAAGCAAAUUUGAUUAAGAAGAUCAACUUCCCAAAACUUUAUGGACAGUGACAAUGGUGACACUGGAAAUCCAGAAAGAGCAUUCUCUUCCCAAUGGAAAAGGGAUCGGCCAUAGUCAACCCAGUUGACCAAAUGGUAAAGAGAAAGGCUAAGACUGAGAUAGUCCCAUGUACCAUUACCAAAAUUGCCAAAGGAAGGGUCAUUGGUCCCGAAGUUGCCAAAUUUACCUAAGGAAGUCAAAGUCAAUAAGUUUGGCUCUACUUCAGGUAAAGUCCAUUGUCUAACUCUAUUAAGUACAUGUUGAUUUUGAUCUCGAAAAUGGAUUUCGAUCGCAUGGUUCGGUGAUCAGAAUUUUGGGCUGUUACUUAAGAGUUAUGAUAUUUAUAUUACAUAGGAAUAGAUAAAAACAAGGUUUUCAUAUGGAUUGUAAGGAUAAGUUUUUCUGCAAAGUUUUAAAAUAAAAGAAAAAAAGGUUUUGAUUUUAUUUAUUUUAAGUAUCCUUACAAUUGCAUUUGUGAAAAAUUGUUGUUUAUAUGAUUCCAUUGAUAGCAAUAUUGCAAAGUGGAUUUGAUUCUUUCAUUUGUGGUAGUGUCUAAAUUUACCAAACAAGGAAAGAUUCUCAUCACCCAAGUUUCAAUUGGAUAGAAACUUGGAAUUAUGCAAGUUGUAUGAUGAAUGAGAAUUUUCAUCUUUGGAAAAUUAAGACUAAUUCGUUGUUCACAUGUUUAAGUGAAUCAAGUGAAGGACUAACAGAUCGAGUAAAUAUUCGUGUGCACUGGUCAGGUCCACCACAAAAGAUCGAUAAGACUAUUCGUCAUGAUUUACUAAAGCUUAGUAAAUAUGGUUAUACUUACAAGUUUAAAUUAUAAUUCUGAAACAUUGGUAAAGUUUCGAUGUAUGGCAGAACAAAUAAGAAGAAUCAAAGUAUGGCAGAAAGAUAAAAGUUUCUCAAAUCUUAAAAGAUGGGAGAGUACUUUAGUAUCAUGUUUAUGGUCAUCUUAAUGAUUAAGAUACCAUGUCACAAUUGAUCCUCUAAAUUCAUCUUAGUGCAUUCUUAUGACUAAGAAGAGGAGUCAUGAAUUGUUGAAAUGGUUAAAUCAAAAAGAUGAGUCAUACUUCGUUCCAAAACAAUUCUUAGAGUCAUACUCUAAGAUUGUAACUUGAGUGACAUAUCUUAAAGAGGGUUUGUUAACACUAGUCAAAUGUAAGAGUAAAAGGUUAUCUACUCUUGUACAUUUGAAAUUGGUAAGUUGUGAUGUUUUGGAUAAAACAGAGACCAACUUAGGCCAAUUGUGUAAAGUGUUAGUCUUGAUAAAGAAUCCACACUAUCUCUUGAAUAUUUGACAAGGGAGUCUUAUAUGUCAAGAGGACAGUGGGAGUCUUAAAUCUCUUGAAAGUUUCAAGACCUAAUCAAGAAUAAAAGCUAAAGUCCUUCACUAGCACACGACUUGAGGUUUAUAACCUAUCGUGUUGAAAUUUUUGUGCCUAUUCAAGUUGGCUUUGCAUAGGAGUUCUGAGAGUUCUCAAUUGGUUGCACAACUACUUGGAACCAAUGGGAGGCACUUGAGCUGAAAAAUGGCAUGAAUUUAAGAUUGCACAAGUUUAAUCCAUAUGAGUUUGGAUUUGUAACUAACCUUGUCUUGUGAGUAUGGUUUUGACAAAUUCAUAUGGGUAUGAACUCAUACACCAUAAAAAUCUAAGUGUCAUAAGGUUUAUCUCUGAUUCAUGAAAAUGAUGGUGAGUAAACACUUUCACUAAGUAGAUUUUAAGUAGAUAGCAAUUGUGAUAUUUGUAUUUUGAAAGUCAUUAGUGGAGCGUGUGUGGUUUACCGGCACACUAACUGGACUUGUGAGAAGUGGAAAAGGUCUAAACAAUCGAGACUAUGAUUACAACAUCCCUUUUUAUAGUUCUUAAAAUUGUUUAGACGCACCUGUGAGCUAUCUAAGAUAAGGUGUAUGAUUUUGAUAAAGUUUGAUCAAAGCAAUCUAGUAUCAGAAAUCUGAACUUUGGUAAGAAAGUCAAUACACUAUUGAUUUCUAGAAGUCCAACUGAUUUCUGAGUAAAUGUCAAAGCUAGUGGGAGCAUAAGUGUUAUGAUAAUAAUCAUCAUGUUAGUGUGAGCAUGAUAAUUAUGCUAAGUAUUGCAAGUUAGCAAUGUUAAUUAUAGAAAACAAAAGUUUCAAUUCAUGAGGUUGCAGAGGUUGAAAAAGUUAUUUUGCUAUAAUUAAGCGAGAGGAAAUUAUACUUCAUGUCAAUUCUAAAAGACUUAGAGUGAGAUUACAAGCUUAUACUGAGAUUUUAAUCAUCUUUAGUCAAGAAUAUAUAUAUAUAUAUAUAUAUAUAUAUAUAUAUAUANGCCUCUUCAUAGUCAAAUCUUGAGAACAUGGCAAAUAAUAAAAAUAUUGUAGCAAAAGACUGGUCCAGAAUCAUGUCUUUAUGUGAGACAUCAUGAGUCGUGUCCCAUUUGCUUUGGGAACAGGAACGAUUGCGUAUGCUAUAAUAUUUAUCCUUUCUAAAUUUUCCAAAUGCUUGGUGCAUUAAGAGGGAAAAAGGUGUAGAAUUGGAUUUGACUAAAGUGAUUAAGCAAAUGUCGAGGACAAUCUAUGGUUUUACCAAGGAUUGGUUGCUCAAGGACAGUUGGAAGUAUAAUGUUAACUUUGGAAGGACCAUAUUGACCUAAUCUGAAAAGAGGCAACUCUUGUUGAGAAGGGGUAGUCAAAAUGGGAAUAUGGAGUUGUCUUCAUAGAUGGAAGCAAUCUGUGUAAGAUUAGAAAAACUUAAUGCAAGAAGGAUGUUUCCAUGGAGUUGAUCUCCAUUGGAAUGCUCUGUAAUGUUUGUUAUCAAGUCUUUGUGACUUUGUGCAUAAUCAUUACAAGAGGAUCAAUGCAUAUAUGUUUAGAAUCUAACAGAUUUCAGUAAAUGGCAUGAAUUUGGAAUUCUUGCGUUUAUAGUAAGGCAUUAGGAAUGUGAAAUGAGAAUCAUUGGAGUUAUGUUCAAUUGAUCUAGUUCACAAAGUAAGGAUCAUAGACAAACAUAGAGUGCAUACUUGGUGUAUGGCAAAGCUAUUGUUUAGAAAAACAUAGUGUACAUUCUCGGAGCAUGGGACAACUAUUAUUUUAAUUCAAGAAUAAAGGUGAUAAAACCGAAACAAUGAAUAAUGGGUAAUCAGUAUGGUGAUAAAUAAAAAGUGUUUUAUUUAUAUUCAUAGUUUUGAUACCAUAUUAGAUUCAUUUAUUCUUGUGUUUCAUUUUGCAUGUUUUGACUUCCAGAAUAAACUACAUUAUUCUUUCUGAAUGACUAAGUUAUUCAAAUCAACCACAGUCGGUCAUAUGUUGGAAGUAAAUAUGAAUAACGACUGUCAUGGGUUGGGCUUGUAGAGGUCUAAGAUGUUGGAAAAAGUGGUGUUACAACACUCAUGAGUGCUCAUAAGUUCUGAGUAUUGGAUUCAACCCGCGCUCAUUGGAAUCACUUCAUGGAUUUUAUCACGAGUGAUCAUGAGACAAUAAUAUCUUAUAUUCUUCAAACCUAGAGAUAUGAGUUGUUACUAUGAGUUAGUUGUACAUUGAUUGCACGAAAACGCAUUGGUAACUCGAUGUUAUAAAAACGUGCCUUUGUGUAUGAUUCAACAAGUAGUAGAACAAGCCAUAUGAGUUGAAUUUUAUCCAUUCCUUUUACCUUCAGGUAUAAAAGCGAUAUCUGUGGGCCCCUCGAUGAUUUAUUAAUGAUACAUGUGAGUGCUUGGCCAAGCUAUGACUAAUUUGAUUUUUUCAAUCAGUCAGUCAUCAUGAAUCAAAAAUCGGGAAACAACUAAUGGACAAAGAGAAUGAUUGAUAAUCCAUGUCUCAUCUUCUUGAUUUAAUCAUUUCAACAAUUUAAGAUUCCUCUUCUUAGUCAUAAGAAUACACAAAGAUGACUCUAGAGGACUAAUUGUGACAUGAUUUCUAAAUCAUUAUGACGAUAAAAAAACAUGAUGCUAAAGUACUCUCCCAUCUUUUCAGAUUUGAGAAACUUUUGUCUUUCUGCCUAAGUUGAUUCUUCUCUUUCGUUCUGCCAUACAUCGAAACUUUUCCAAUGUUUCAGAAUUAUACUUUAAACUUGUAAAUAUAACCAUAUUUACUAAGCUUUAGUAAAUCAUGACGAAUAGUCUUAUCGAUCUUUUGUGGUGGACCUGACCAGUGACAAGAAUGUGUAGUAGAUCCCUUAGUCCUUCACUUGACUCACAUACACAUGUGAACAAGGAACUAGUCUUAAUUUUCCAAAGCUGAAAGUUCUCAUUCAUUAUAUUGUACAACUUGUAUGAUUCCAAGUUUCUAUCCAACUGAAAACUUAGGUGAUGAGAAACUUUCCUUAUUUGGUAAACUUAGACACUACCACAAAUGAAAGAAUUAAAUUCAUAUUUCCAUUAUUGCAAGAAACAUACAAACAUCAAGUUUUCGUAAAUGCCAUUGCAAGGAAAGUAAAACAAAGUUUUAUUUAUUUAUAAAAUGUGGAAAAAACUUUUCCUUACAAUGCAACUUUAAAUGAAAACUAUGCUAUUACAUGUUUCCUAGCAAUCUAUCAUAACUCCUAAGAGUAGCUUAAGAAUCCGAUCUCCAAGUGAUAGAAAUCCAUCUUCGCGGUCAGAUUCAACAUACUCUUUUCUUUAAGUUUCCUUCACUUUUCCUUUAAUUCUUAAAAUAUCAACAUGUGACCCAGUCACAUCAUGUAAUAAGAAUCUCAUAAUAGAAACUUAAUCGAGUUAGAUAGAGGACUUUACCUAAAGUAGAGUCAAACUAAUUGACUUUGCCAGCCUUAUGACCUUUCAGGUAAAUUUGGCAGCUUCGUAACCAAUGCCCCUUACCAUGUACCAUUGUCAAUGUCCAUGGAAUUUUGGGAAGUUGAUCUUAUAAUCAAAUUUGCUUUACUUGUAUUCCAAAUCAUUGCUGAUUCAGUAGCACCAAGCAAAUAGAUAAGAUCAUUAAGGGUCUUGUCAUAGUCUGUUUCAUAGGAGUCCGAAAGGAACUCACUAUGUGACUUAGAAAGCGAUUGAACCAUCAACUUUCUCAAGACUUUGACUCCCAACUCUCCCAGCUUGUCAAUAUGUGACUUCAUCUCCAAGAUGUGAUCACACCUAGACCUUGCCUUGCUAAUAAGACUUGAGUGACCUUGAACUUGUGGGUUAGGGAGAAUAAUUGGAGGAGGUUGAGGAAGUGAAGUUCCAAGAGAUUUAGGAGGAUCAUAGAUGUCUGAACUAGACAUCUUUUGGGAGAUAUUCAAGAUAGUUGAUCUAAAGUCCUUAAUAUAACACCCAAUAUGAAAUAGUAAGGCUAGGACCCAACACAAUAUUUUAUAACUUGGAAGAGGGAUGUCGUAAUCCAAGCUAUAGAAUAUUUGAAGGUAGGUGAAUGAUGAUUCACCAAUUUCCACCAUGAAAACGAAAUAAUUUAAUUAGGUUUUACUUGGAUUUGAAACUCCUAGAUCUUUUGAGAUUCGUUAAACUGUUCAAUGGCAUGUUUCAGUCUCGAAUGUGCACUUCAGGUUUUGUGACUGGGAUGCCGAGGAUCACAAAACAAGGUGUGAAUAACCAUUCAAAUAUACUUGGUACCCUUAAUAUUUACCCCUCAAUCGAUGUGCCGGUUAACCACACGUGCUCCACCGAUACUAUGAUAAACAUUAAGUUACCCUUUGCCUGCCUUGUUAAAUGAAGCUAGUGUGUUGGUUAACCACACACGCUCCACUAACCGACUUAAGCAAAUUGCAAAGUGUAAUUUCAUGGGUUAGCACCACAUUCACAUUUUCCUAAGUAACUAAGAUUGAGAAUUUAUAAGUGUUUAGUUACUUAGUAUUUAUCAUUACUACUUUUAAUGAAGGGAGAAUUAUAGUCCUUGUCCUACCCAUUCGGCUAACGACCCUCCACCAGUCAAUGAAGUGGUGGGUGAGAGUGGACACUCAUUAAACUGCCAUUUUAUAGACAGUAACCGUAUACCCCCCUUAUAGACCGACUUCGUGAAUGAGGCCUAGUAAUGGUAAGACGACUUGCUCUUAUACAUAUAUAUAAAUAUUAUUAACUUAUAAUAUUAUAAAGUAUAAGGUUUGAAUUUUAACUUUUAAAAUUCUAAGGGCUUAACUUGGAAUUAAAGUAUUCAUGGGAAAACUUUACAAAUUCCAAAACUUGAGGGCAAGUUUUUGAAACUAUUCAAGAUUUUUCAUUUCAUAACAUAUGAGUUUAAUGGUUCAUUAAAAUGAAGACUCUUCAUUUUUUAUGUAACCUCUUAUUCUUUAAUAACACUUUUAAAGAAGUGAGUCUUAAAUGUGACCUUUUAUGUAACUUGAGGACAAGUUACAAUAGUAUUAUGGAGUCAUAAUACUAUUUAAUGAAAAAGACUCUUCAUUUUUUUAUGUAACCUAUGACACUUUUAUGAGUUUUAAGAUUCAUAAAUGUGACCUUUUAUGUAACUUGAGGACAAGUUACAAAAACACAUUUUAUUAACUACCUCUAGAUUAACUAGGAUUAAAAACAACUAAAACACAAUUUUUGUCCAUUAAUCUAAACUAACUGAUAAAUCAUGGAAACACAAAACUUUUUGUAACCCAUAACUUAUGGAGUUAAAUGCUUGUUUUAUGAUUAAACUUUUCAUGUUCCAUAACUUAAGAAUAAGUUAUGGAAUUCUUUAAAACAUUAACACCACAUUUUGUAACUCCAUAAAAACGUUGAAUCAAAUUUUUUUUUAAAACCUUUUCAUAUCCAUAACUUAUGGAGGUUUCAAAACACUUAAGAUCACAACUUUAAAAAAACUUUUGAGCUCCAAAAUUUUUUGACAUAAUUUGUAACUCCUUAAAACAUUUAGAUCAAACUUUUAAAACUAAUAAACUAAUCAUAUCAUUUUAUCUUUUACUAAAUUUGACCUAAUUCAACUCAUAUAGCAAAUGAUUCAAAUUUUACAAAUAAUUAGUUUUUCACAAAACAAGUAAUUAUCUUAAAAUCUGACAAACUUCAUGUUUUUUUUCUCUUUUUUUUUUCAACUUUGAAAAUCAAACAUUUGCAUGAAUAUAACAGAAAACAACCCUAGGCUCUGAUACCAUUGUUGGGUUUUGAGCAUUCUAACACUCCUAAGUUUACAUGCAACCCUAAAUACCUUGGAUCUAUGUUUUCUCUAUUAUACAUGCAAAUAUGAAUAUUCCAAGGUAUUACCUUAUCUAGCAUACAAUCUUUUAAUACUUGGGUAAUAUAACAAGUUAUAAUACAUACCUCUUGAUGUGACUUAACUCCAUGAAGCUCGAGAUCCUAUUGCCCCAAGUGUGACACCUCAAAUGGUUCACACAACAUCAUGAACACUUGGAAUAACCAUGAGAAGAAGACACUUUAUGCUCAAAACGGCUAGCCCUCAUAUAUGUAUCAGUAGUGCCAAUUUCUUGAGCUAAAGGGGUCUUUAUAUAGUGUGGCUGUUAGGGUUACACCAUGUAACUCAUGACUUUACCCAUUCCUUAUGCUACAUGGGUUUUAACCUCCAUGGAGUAUCCAUGGGUCACCACAUGGGUUAAACCCAACAUAAGGAAUCUUGGAUCAUAAGUCCACAUAUAUAAGAAUUAAUGAUUUACACAAUUAAUCCCCAUAUAUUUAAUUAGUCUCUUUUGAUCACUAAAUUAAGUCCAAAUUAAUUCUUGAUCAAUAAUAAUUAAAUAACAUGAUUUCAUAUUAAUAUAUUAGAAGUUAUAAUAUAUUAAUAUGUCACAAAUGUCUUUUUCUCACAAACGGUCUAUCCAAAUGUUCCGAUACCAUGCAACCCAAAUGGACCAUGCCGAGUCGGGUCAAGUACAUACCAAUUAUAGUUAUGGACUUAGACACUAAUCCAACACGAAGAAGGGAAUGAUCUUUCACCUUGAUCGACAUGUGGAAUAUCUUCUUCAAAAGGAAAACCUUUUCCACAGGAGUGAGGAAAACCAUAGUUCUCAGAACUAGAUAUCUACGAAAAGGGAGAAAUUCAAGUUAUUUGAUACAAUCCUUAAUAUAACACCUAAAUGAAAUAUUAAGGCUAGGACCCAACACAAUAAUUCACAAUUCGGAAGAGGGAUGUCGUAAUCCAAUUGCAAAUUAUUUGAAGGUAGGUAAAUGACGAUUUACCAAUUCCACCAUGAAAAUGAAAUUUUAAAUGAAUUAGGUUUUAAAUGAAAGUCCUAGAUCUUUUGAGAUUCAUUUAACUUUUAAAUGGCAUGUUUAAUCUCGAUUAUUCCCUUCAAGUUUGUGACUGGGAUACCGAGGAUCACAAACAAGGUGUGAAUAACCAUGCAAAUUAGCUUGGUACUCUCGAUGUCAUUUAUUAUCUAAUCAAUGUGCCGGUUAACCACACACGCUCCAUUGAUCAAUGAUAAUUUAUGAGCUACCCAUUGUCAUCCUUCAUUAGUCUCACAUUAGUGUGUCGGUUAACCACACACACUCCACUAACGACCAAUAGGGUGCAAUGUGCAAUUUCAUGGGUUAACAUAAAAUUCACAUUUUCCUAAAGUAACUAAGAUUGGGAAUUUAUAAAAGCCUUUAGUUACUUGAUAAUUCAUUAUAAUUUGAAUGAGGAUUUAGAGCCCUAUUCUACCCGUUCGGCUGACGACCCUCCACUAGUCAAGAGUGCGGUGGGUAAAGUGGAAACCCAAUGAUGAUCAUUUUAUAGGACACUUCCUUAAACACCCCUUAUAGACCAACUUCGUGAAUGAGGCGUACUAAUGGUAAGACUGACCUUUUCUUAUACAUAUAUAUAUANUAUAUAUAUAUAUAUAUAUAUAUAUAUAUAAAAUUAAACUUUUAAUCUUAUAUAAUAUAAGGGUGUAUUUUAAACUUUAAAAAUACUAAGUGGUUUAAUCUUUUAAUUUAAUUAAAUUUAAACCUAUCUAUGGAUUUAUUAAUAGUCUUUCCAUUAAAAGACUUAAUUAAUUAAUUAAUAAAAUCUGUGAGGGCGCAUUUUUAAACUACUAAAAAUAUUAGGGUUUUACCAUUUAAAUUUCUAAAAAUUAAAACUUUUAAUUUCAAAUUCAAUCUAUGAAAGCAAAAUGGUGUAGUUUGAAACUUUUUCAAAAUCUAGGUUAAAUCAUUGAAUCAAAAUAAUCUAAUAUUAUCCAAUAUUAAACAAAUCCUCUAAUUUUGAUAAGGAUAUGAGCAUACCCAUCAGAAAAAUCGAUUUUAGGAAAUAAAACCGAAUUAUAGUAAUUAUCCAAAUCAAAAUCUGAUCUGAAAAAUCGAAUUUUUAGGUAACUAACGAGUCAACUUGUCGAGUUCACCCAACUUGUCGAGUUCAUCAUGGAAUCAUCGAGCUCAUGUGUCAGACAACCAAAAAUUCGAUUUCUUGUUCUUUGGACAAUUCACUCUUGCACCAAUUUAAUUGAAAAACAUCAUAGGUUUUGAUAACAUUGAUGGGUUUUGAGCAUAUCUACAUUCCUAUGUGAUCAUGCAACCCUAAUUUAUUUUGAUGAAAGUUUUUCUCUAUUGAACAUACAAAUAUGAACAGCAAAGCAAUAACUCUAGAUCGAGUAUAUACAAUUUCAAAAUUCACAUAUAUAUUAGGGUUUGAAGAUUACCUCACUUGUUAUAUUGUAAUAACAAGAACAAUCCUUGCUGGAUCUUGACUUCUGAAAGCCUAGUGCCCCAAGUGUUGCACCUCUAAUGGAGUCAAACACUCCAUGCAAAGAAUGACUUGGAGAGAGGUUGAAAAUCGGCUCUCCUAGGGUUUCUCAAGUUUAGGGCCGAAAUUCCAAGAGAUGUAGGGGAUUUAUAUAGUUGUGUGGGCUGCUAGGGUUUCUGGAGGAAACCCUAACUCCUGCUUAAGGCUUAAGCAGCCUGUGGACCCCCUCUUUAGAGCCCUUGGACGAAAUCUUAUGGUCUUACCCAUAAAUUUCAUCCACUCCACUCUAUGGAGUCCAUCAGCCCAGUUUUACAACUAUCAAUGAUUUACAAAACAGCCCCUUCAUUAUUAAUCAGUUCCUUUAAUCCCAAAAUUAAUAUCAAAUUAAUUUAUGAUUUAAUUACUAAUUAAUAAUAUGAUUUCCAAAUAAUAUAUUGAUCUUGUAAUAUAUUAAUAAAAUCAUUAUGAGUACCAAUUCAUUAUUCAUAUAAUAAAACCUACUCUCUCUCUCUCUCUCCACUAGUAAUCCUAUCAAGUUGCAUGAGUGAAGGCAACCCAAAAGGACCAUGCUACAAAUCAAAUCAAGUACAUACCAAAUAUAGUUAUGGGCUUAGACACCUAAUCCAACAAUAGUCUGUAGUGGGUUCUUUCUCAAUUUUAUCAAAACAAUGAAAUAGUAAUGCUUUCGGAGUAAUCGGUAGAUCAAGUUGCGAAUCCAAAGUGUUCUCCAGAUCAAACGACGUAAAUGGAUCCAACCAGUAAGUACUUGCAAUGUCGAUAGCUUCAUUUAUAAUUCACUCCAUGGUCCACGGAGCGAAAAGAGUCUUUGAAGUUUCCACUGUUACCUGUGCAUCGUGAAGCUUUUUUUCAUGAGCAUCAGCUUCUCUCGCAAUUCGCAGGUUUUCAUCAAGCUCUUUAUCACGAGACUUUCGGUUGAGCUUUGCACCUUCAUCAUCUUCUUCAUCUUCAUCAUCGACCAAAUUUCCUUUUCCUUUCAAUCCUAAAGCUUCAUUACCCUUUGGAUCGUUUGGAAUUGGUUACUAUUCUUGUUCACCAGAAUCAUCAACUGGUUUCUUGACUUCUCCCCUUGUUUCGGAAGUGAGCUAGAAUUCGAAACACCUUCCAAAUGUUUGAGCAUUGAGAAGACGGGUUGAAGCUUAUCAGCCAGAUGUUGGCGAAUAGAUACCAUGAGUAGAGAAUCACAAGUCUUGAUGAGAUUUAGCAAGAAUUUAUUAACUUCUCCAACACAGCUCUUUAACACAAUAUUUUCAAACUUGAGUUCAUCAUUCUGCUGUUGUGCAAGCAAAAGUUGUACAUAAAGAACUUUAAUCUUCUUAGUUUUCACCGCAGGUUUAUCCAUAAGCGAAUUCUCGAUAGCAACGUCCUCUUGAAGCUUAGCAAGCCAGGAAGUAAUAUAAGUUUGCAACUAAGCAUUAUCAGCCUAAAUUUCAGUACAAACCUUCGAAAAAGUAGCUCUCUCAGUUUGAAGAGUUGAUCCAGGACUUGUAAUGACCUUAUUCACAGCUUCAAUAGUUUUGUCCGAUGAUCGUCGAAAAUCAACCAUAAACUCAGUAACAUCAUUCACUAGUUUUUCAACUUUUUCAGUUUCCUGACAAACAAUCUUCUUGGAAUUUUCCACAUAUUUAGUAGAGGCAUCGAUACUUUUGUCAUGCUCCUUUGUGAAGGUCUCAAUUAAAGCUUUUAUAGAAUCGUAGGAGUAUUCAGUGCUUGAGAAAGUUUUGGAAGGCUCAAGUUGAGUAUCCAACUUUUCAUUGAGGGCUUUGAAUUGAUCCUUUGUCAUAGGUGCAUCUUCGUCAUCACUUAAUGGUUAAACGUUGAAUGGGCUAUAGGUAAAAUCUUAGAAGUCAUCAUGAUCAUCUCCAAAGAUGGUAUCCAGAUCAUCAUUGCAUAGUGGUGAGAUUGGAGUAGAAUUAGGACGGAUCGUUACACUAGAAGCACCUGCCCCCAUACCAAAUACGUUGACCGUUACUGGUGGUGUACUCGUGGUUGUGGUGGAUUUAGUGUAAAUCGGAGUGGUGUGAGCAACAGAGAUUUGUGGUUGCGAGACUCCUACAUAAACAUUCUUACAUGGAGUAAUGGUGAUUGGGGUAGAUAUGGGUGUAGAUGUAGUAUAAGGAGAUGGUGGAGGAGAAGGAACAUGAAAAGUUUUAGUUGGUGAGGGAAUAGAGGUAGGAAUCAGAGAUGUUACCUUCGUAGAAGACUGAGUAGGAAUGGGCUUGGAGACCAUUGGUUGCCAACUGACUGCAAUAUCUUUAGUUUCACACUGGACUUGCUCGGUUCUCUAGACAUCUGAAAUUGUAUGAGACUCCGAAUCCUCUUCAGUGACUUGAGAGGGUGAUCGUGGCUUACGAGCAGCCUUUUUGACUUUCUUCUUCGGAGUUUGAGUCAGUUCGGAAGAUCCAGCUGUUGCUUUUUCGUUUACCUCCCUUCUUAGGCUUGUUCGCUUCCUCCAAAGCCUUUUGCAUCUUAGGUUUUAAAGGACGAGGACCUGAUGCAAUUUGUUGGGUCAAUAUUAUGGUUUAUACUUUGCUUUCUGGAAAUUGUAUUUUUCUGUAAUAUCUUAUGUGUUUACGGUCAGGUUUAUGGCCAAGUGGGUGUUUACGGCCGUAAACAGGUUUAUGGCCGUAAACUCUGUUUGCGGCCCAUAUUCUCAUGUAUAUAUAUAGGGGUGAGGGGUGUGAGGAAAAGAGUGAUGAACACUAAACGAGCUUAAGUGUGUGCAUUUGAAGGUGUUCAAGAGAGAGAGAGAGAAAAGAGAGUGUGUGUUAGGGUGUGUGAAUCUUGUAUUCGGAUCUUCAUUCUAAUCAUAUCAUACAUAGAUUCAUCAUCUUCUUUUUCUUCUCCUUCUCUUCUAUUUGAUCUGAAAUCAUCCGUUUGAUUGGGAUUCCGCACCAUCAAACGGAUCUGAUUGAUACACAAGCAUUUUUGGGGACUUACAAUUGGUAACAUAGCUUGGUUGUAUCAAUCAAUUUUUUCAGAUCUGGAGCUUAUUUGAACUUAUUUUGAAGAGAUUUUUGCGUUUUUGGAUAGAUCUCGCAAAAAUAAGGGGGGUUUGUUCUUCGUGUUUUUCCUAAAAAGGAGUUUUUGAUCGAGUUUUGGAGCAAAAAGGGUAAAAAAACGCUGUUUUUCGUCAAGAACAACGAUUUUUGAAAAGUUUACGGUCUUUGAAGGGUUUACGGCCCGGAGUUUACGGCCGGAAACUGUUCACGGUCGCCGGACGUUUGCGGCCGGAAACGAGUUUAUGGUCCGGAGUUUACGACCGUAAACUGUUCACAGUCGUUGGACGUUUGCAGUCGGUGUUUGCGGCUCGGCUCGGAUUUCGGCCUCGGCUCGGUGAUCGGCUCGGCUCAGCGGCAGGUCUCUUCAGCAGCGGCGCGCUUCAAAUAAAAAGGGACGCGAAGUUGGGGGUGGCAGGGAUCGAACCCGCGACCUCUAGGUCAUUGACACAACGCGCUUAGCCAACUCGACCAACUGAUCAUUUGUUUCAAUCCCCGAAAUAUUAAACUUAACCUCUCCCUGUCGCACCAGUUUCGCAAAUUUUACAUUUUUUGCCCAAAAAUCAAUUUCUUUUAUUUUUAAGCUCCAUUUUCAAUCCAAAAAUUUUAGUUUUUAAAUUUUGANUAGCUUUUCGUUUGACUUUUCAAGUUUGACUUUUGAGUUUAACUUUUUAAAUUUGACUUUUAAGGUUGACUUUUGAGGUUGAUAGUCAUAGGGCAUUUUUAAAUUUAAGUUCGACUUUUAAGUUCUAGUUGUGCUUUUAAUAGCUUUUGAAGUUUACGAGGGAAUUGAAGACAUGAAAGAGAGUCGUCAAGAGAUGUUAAGACAAAACUUCAACAUGUUCGAUUAUGUCCCUGGAGAAACCCUGGAAGCUCAAUUGCAGCGAUUUACCACAGUCACUACUGAGAUGAAUAUAGCUGGGAUCUUCUUGACCAAAUCUGAGAUAAACAAAAAGCUACUGAAUGCACUUCCAAAAUCGUGGGAUAUGGACGUGGUUGACAUCAAAAAGACAAAAGAUCUCAAUCGUCUUAGUCUUGCUGAUAUAAUUGAAGAACUUGCCGCUUUGAAUUGUCGAAAAACAAUGAGUUCCGUAAACCUUCCGGUCAAUGAAGUUUCAUGUUCUCAAUCAUGUGAAGUUUCAUGUAUGCUAUCUAGUGAAGAUACGAUUAAAUUUCUUCGGGAACAAAUUGAUUUAUUAAAAAGGGAAGUUGAGCACCUGAGAUAUGAAGGAUAUCAACUCAGGAAAGGACAGAAACCCCUGAAGGCUGAAUUAGAAGCAAAAACCAAAUACUUUAGGAAACUUCAGGAAGAGUAUAGCAACAAGUGUGAAAAUUAUAACUAUAUUAAGAGACAACUUGCUGCUAUAACUGAAGAACUUGACGCCUUAAAAAUUAAGUGUGAAAAAAUACAUGUUAGUUUCAAAAAUUAUACUGCGUCAAGUCAAACAGUCGAGUCCUUAUAUGAAACCCAAUUAAAAUUCAAAGAAAAUCAAAACAAGGGUCUAGGGUAUGAUAGUGUUCCUCUACCUUUCAAUCAUAACUACACAUCCAUCCCUAUGACACAGGACGAAAUUGACAGGGAGGCAUAUCUUCGAUAUGGCAAACCAGUUGGAUUUGUGUCAGGAGGUAUUCAAGUUGAAAAUAAUAAUGUUUCUACUUCAUGUGCAGGUAAAGUAGCAUAGGAUGAGAACAAGGAGAAAACCAUUGAACAAACCAACAUUUCCUUGAGCUCUGAAUCUGUUGCUUUGAACUCAACUGCUUCUGAUCAAACUGCUGUUGAGAAAUAUAGGCCACCAAUUCCAAUGAAACAGAGUGUCUCCUGCAAUUGUGCUUGUGGGAACAAUAAGAAACAAGGCAAAGAUACGCCACCAGGGGCAGUAAGAAACAAUUUCCCAGUGAAGAAAAAGACUUGUUUUCACUGUGGAACACCUGGUCACAUUGCCCGAAAUUGUCCAAAUCGCGCAUAUGUUCCUUACUGCGCACAAGGCUGGCAGAAUGUGCCAAGAGGGAAAUACUCUAAAAGAUACCCCUCGAGAUCACAAUCAGACAUUGAUGACUGGAAUGCCAUGAAGGCCAAGAAUUUAACUCCCAAGGCCAAGAAUCUAACACCAAAGGACAAGAGUCAAAAUCCCAAAGUCAAGAAGGGAUUGCUGACCAAGAAGCCAAAUCAAAGAGAUGCUCCCGUGAAGCCAAAAUCAAAGUCAUCUCAAUGGCCGAAAUCAAGUCCCAAAGCAAGUAUUGAGCCACCCAUCGGAUCGAAAAAGAAAUGGGUUAAACCCAACUACUAAUGGGUACCAAAGGUUCAAUCUCCCAAUUCUCCUAAUGCUUCUAACGUUUCUACAUCUUCUAUUUGUGAUAAGCAGGACAUGUCAUGAGAGAGAGUACCGUGCAAGGAUGAAAAAGGUCAACCCAGUUUCAAAAUGGACUGGGUUCCAAAGACCAACUGAUCCCGCUCUAUGUCGGAGCAGCGAUGGAUGCAUAUCAUCAGACUUCGGUUUGUUGGUAGUAGCUGUUCCAGGCACAUGAUAGGAGGCAUCUCUCAACUGUAUAACACUCAGAACAUUGUUUGGGAGAAUAUGUCCUUUGUGGGAAAGGAAGAAAGGAAGUGAUCACUCACGAGGUUUGUGCUUAAUGACAUGAAGAAUUUUCGGAUCUGUUCUGAGAUUACGCAUGCUGUUCUCACACCUUCUGGAUGCAAUUUCAAUCGGUGACUUACGGUUUGAGUUUUCUUCUCCAUACUCCUGAGUUUUUCUUAAGCUGAUUCACUUUAAAGACUAAUUUUUGUUUUAGGAUAGUUUAAAUUUGCGCAUUUACUUUUGUUUCUCUCCUAUGCACAAAUUUAGGGGGAGAAAUAAAAACAAAACAAAAAAUUAGAAAAUUUUAAAAAAUCCAAAAACAUUAGAAAAUCAGAAAAUAAAAAAAUAUGUUGGUUAUGAAAUGUGCUUGAGGGAGUUUUUUUGGGAAUUGAUAUUAUCAAGUGAUAACAGACAAUCUAAGUCUGUGUAACGUACCUAAAGUUGAAGGGUCUAUGCUCUGGUUUGAUGCAUCGGUAGGCACGAAAGAUUCUAAAUGGACAUGACUAGGUAAAGUUGAAAUUAAGGAAUUCAUAGACUUGACAAAUCUUGACCUAGUUAGAUCCUUUUAUCUUGACAAUACGACGCUUGGAUAGGUUGAGCAGGGAGAUAUAUAUGGGAAUCUACUGGUCUCAUUAAAGAACAUGUACUUGGAACUGUGGAUUAACUUUUCCUCGAUGUGCGGAUUCUGUCCUUAAUUCCGGUAUUGAUGGGGCGACUGGUGAAUUCUGAUAAAUUUGGUCUGUAGAAGGUUAUAUUCUUUCUUUCUAUCUAUUAGUCAUAUNNNNNNNNNNNNNNNNNNNNNNNNNNNNNNNNNNNNNNNNNNNNNNNNNNNNNNNNNNNNNNNNNNNNNNNNNNNNNNNNNNNNNNNNNNNNNNNNNNNNAGAAUUCAAAACUGUUCACCAGCCCUCAAAUUUGUAAACUUUUCUAAAUAUAGGGCAGAAACUGUCAUUUGCUGAAAGUCAGGGGGCUGAAAUGGUAAUUCAGCAACAUUAUCCCAUUGAUUUUGUAACAAAUUCGAAAAGGGAUGAAAACUGUCAAUAUGCUGAAGUUAUAGGGACCAAAAUUGAAGCUUAACACCUUCUUCCUCAUUUACCCCUGAUAAAUGAACGUAUCCUCACACCAGGUAGCGGAAACACGUACUCCGAAUCCAAAUUGCAAUCCUCGAUCAAUCGUUCAUUCCCAGCCCUGAGUUCAUUUGUGAGUUACGAAUCCAAGCCGACAGGGACACCGAUUCCGAGUCCAUUCGCAGUUUCGAUUGCGACUUGGUUUACACCGCAUCAAGCAAUUUCAAUCUCCAAACAUACCAACAUCGAAUUUCAGUGCAUAACAAUCGUAAUCCAUAGUUUACUUCUGUUAACUUCUUCGCAGAUGAGAGCACCAUUAAAAAAAAGUCCACAGUACCGAUUCAAUCUUCAUAACAUUCAAUUUUGACUUUUCUUGUUUGACCGUCGAAAUUGGCACACAUCGCUGUUCAUCCGUUCAUCACGUCCAAAAAUUGAUUUCCAGAUUAAACAUAUUGGUCAAACAAGGUACUAUUGAUAAACACCAUCGUUAUCUAUUCUUGAUGUUUGUCAAAGCACACAAAAUCAAAGAUUCAGAGAAAUUGGUUCUGAAGCAACUCGAUUUAAACAAAUCGGUCAAUCAACCACAAACUCUAUUAUCGAGAAGAUUAAAUCAAUUCAAAAGUUUGUAAUGAAAACUGUGAAAAACCCAAACGAAAUUUUGAAUCGAUUAAAAUACGGGAAUACUUAAUCGACAUACGAUUGAAUAAGAUUGAACGAAAAAUGGAUUUUGACUUGCGACUAAAAAAAAACUUGUUUGUUGGGACAAACGAUGAAUAGACACUUGUUGGGCUCAAGAACAAUAUAUCGACUUGAAUAAAAAAAUGGGCUUAAUCAAGUGAACAUGAUCUAGGAGGCAAUAGAAUAACGUUAAAUAGACCAAUUGAUCAGAUCGAAUCAGAUCAUACCAGAUGAAUAGUAGAAGAAUGCAUCAUUUCCCAUGAAUAGUUGCUUGAACAGUUGCUUUUUCUUGAACAAAAAGCUUGAUUCCAAGUCGCCAAAACAUCAAAAAUCUUCAAAAUAUUGUGCAGAAAAUCAUCAAAUCAAGAACCGAUACUUCAAAAAUCAAUAGAUCUUCAAAGACCCGCUCUGAUACCACUUGUUGGGAUUAAAACCCUAAUUGUGAUUUGAUGAACAAGAUGCGGAAAAUAAGAACAAACACAAAUAUGAAGAUUAUGUCGAAUGAUCACUCGAUUUAUUCAAACAAGAGGAAUAAAUUACACUUAAAGCAUAGACUAAAGAAUCUAACACUACAUAAGAAACCUCACGUGGCGGCUACAUUUUGCCUCACUCUUAACCCUAAUUGUGAAUAAUACAUGACUAUUUAUAGGGAAAAGACAAAUCUUGGGCUUUUAACCUAGAAUUCAUCAAAGGGGCCCAUUGCCAUCAUCCAUGGAGUGCUUUGAAACCCUACAAUAUCCCCCUCAAAGUNGACCAUGCCGGGUCGGGGCAAGUAUAUACCAAAUAAGUUAUGGACUUAGACACCUUAUCCAAAACUAGGAACUUAGGAUCACUUUGUCUUACAAUUAUUAGUAUGUCCUAAAAAUUGUCACAAUUUUUCGUGUUUAAGUGGACCACAAUACCGACGAUCGACCAGACAAAGACGAGAAGAUAGAAGGUACCGACAAGCAGAUAAAGGCUGUCUAAAAACUUUGAUCCCAAAUCAUUCUUAAAGUUAGAUAUCAUUUUAUUUUUGUUAAAUUUGUUCAUAGUUUUUUUCUAAUUUAAAUACUAGGGGAGAAUUAAAAAUUAAAAAAAUAAACAAACAAAAAAAUCAGAAAAUAAAAAAAAUCAAAAAUCCAAAAAUAUUUUUGUUUCUGUGCUAAGUUUUCUUUUAGUUUUGUUUUGUCUUGAAAAGUGAUUUCAGGUAUAGAUAAGACUCAUGAAGUUUGUGUCGAAGAUUUUUGAGGCAAGGCUUCAUCCGUGAGCAUCGAAGAAUUCGCAUUUGAAGGAGCAAGAAAUGAAGAUUAUUCUUUCGACAUUCAAUCCUUCAACCCUAGAAGAAAGGUCAAGCUGACUUGAAGAUUAUGUGACAGAUUGCAUUGAAGCCUCCCCAAUCAGUCUGCUGCUAUCUUAAACCUGCUGAAGUGAUCCAGAAGAUUUGUUCUCUCUGAAGAUUCUCAAGCUGAAAGCGCUAUCUUUCAAGAAUCAGUACAUCAAGCCUCCUCACCCGACGUGCGUUCAAAGCCAAAUUCUGAAGAAAAGCCCAACUGCUCAAGAUAAAGUCAUUCACUAAAGAUAAAUGUUGAAUCCAAGCUCUCGAUGAAGAUUAACAAGAAAAGCAACUACUUUUUAGGGGGAGCUUGUUGGGUCAAUUAAGAAAAGAAAGUUACAAUCCAAGGGGGAGAUUGUUGGGUCAAUAUUAUGGUUUAUACUUUGCUUUUCUGGAAAUUGUAUUUUUCUGUAAUAUCUUGUGUGCUUACGGUCAGGUUUAUGGCCAAGGGGGUGUUUACGGCCAUAAACCCUGUUUGUGGCCCAUAUUCUCAUGUAUAUAUAUAGGGGUGAGGGGUGUGAGGAAAAGAGUGAUGAACACUAAAGGAGCUUAAGUGUGUGCAUUUGAAGGUGUUCAAGAGAGAGAGAGAAAAGAGAGUGUGUGUUAGUGUGUGUGAAUCUUGUAUCUGGAUCUUCAUUCUAAUCAUAUCAUACAUAGAUUCAUCAUCUCCUUCUUCUUCUCCUUCUCUUCUAUUUGAUAUGACAUCAUCCGUUUGAUUGGGAUUCCACACCAUCAAACGGAUCUGAUUGAUACACAAGCAUUUUUGGGGACUUACACAAUUUUCUUCUGAUACUUGUUGAUGAGCUCGUUACCUGGUGGAACAUAAUUGAGCAUUGCCUCUGGAAGAGAUCGAAUAAUGUCAAACGUCGUAGGAUCAGACAUGUAACAACGUGAAAAUUUAAAACAAUUAUUCAUUUUGAAAACAUACUUACAUUCAUAAAAUAUCAUAAAAAUCCAUUGUAUCACAUGUUAUGAUAAAUACACAAUUCCCAAGAUCUCAAAUACAUAAAUCCUCUCAGUGUGUACGAAUCAUGUCGGCACCUUCCGAUGGUCCUUGGUAGUACCUGAAACACAUAUUACAUAAACGGUAAGCGUGAGUUCCCCAAAAUACCACAUACACACAUACGCCACUCAAGGCUAUAAGACCAUCCGGUCACUGUGUCUCCUAGGACUUCCGUCCCACAACCCUGGUAGACCUUCCGGUCCUACCCAUGAUGACCUUCCGGUCUGUACCCUUUUGUCCUUCUGGUCCAUAACAUGAUGACCUUCCGUUCCAUAACAUACCGCCCAUAACAUAAUGUAACACAUUCAUAUCACAUAUCAUCUAUCAACAUAUAUCAUAUACUCUUCAUAGCACAUAAGACCUUCCGGAUACACCUAUUUACCACUCUAGGUAACGUAUAGUGAGAAGACUCACCUCAUAUGCUGUCUGGUAACUCACGUGCUCGGUAUCCCAAAACCUCGUAACAAUGAUCUAGCCCUGCCUAAACACAUAAGCAAUCACCUCAAAUCAAUAACGGCUCUCCAGGCUAGAUGUAACGACGUGAUUUUCAAAACAAAUUUUUUAUUUUUGAACAAUAAAUUUUUUCAUAUAAUAAACAUUCUUAAAAGUGUUUGACAAUUGUUAUCAAUUUAAAACAUAUCCCAAGAUCAAAAUUAAGUCUUCUCUCUGUGUGUACGGGUCACACCGGCGCCUUUCAACGGUCCUCGCUAAUACCUGAAACACGUAACACAACAACUGUAAGCAUAAAUGCUUAGCGAGUUCCCCAAAAUACCAUAUACCACACAUACGCCUUUCCAGGCCAUACUCUAUUGGAUCUUCUGAUCCAGGUGUCUCAGGGGACUUCCGUCCUGGGUCCUGGUCGACCUUCCGGUCCUACCCGUAUCGACCUUCCGGUCCGUACCCUCUUGACAUUCAGGUCCUUACCAUACAUAUCAUACAUAGCACAUACAUAUCAUAUAACAACAUAUAACACACAUAUAUCAUAUCAUACAAGACCUUCCGGUCACACAUAAGUACCAUUCCAGGUACAGUAUAGUGAGAAGACUCACCUCAGGUAUCUCGGAUAGUGUCUCGCUCGCAUAUACACUGAUCUAGCCUCAGCCUAAAACAUAACAAUCAUCUCAAUUAAUAACAAUUCUCCCGGCCAGACUAGACUCUCACAUGUUCUCUAAGAAGGCUAAAAGACCAUUUUACCCUUCAAUCAGUCCACUAGUCCAAAUGUUGACCAAACCCUAAAAGUCAACAAAGUCAAUGGUCAAACUUUGACCAGACUCGUCGAGUGAACCAAUGUGACUCGACGAGCCCAUGCGUGUCCUUCAUAAUCCUGGCACUUACUUGACUCACUGAGUCAAUCCCCCACUCUUCAACUCGUCACUGAUCGUGAAUCGCGGGACAACCCGUCCCAACUCGUCGAGUCCGGCUCUUGACUCGGUGAGUCCAGUCGUGAACUCAAGUCUCCUAAAUCCUCUCAGUCUCACUGAGUCAUUCCCUCAACUCAGCGAGUCAUCAACUUUGUGAUCCUCGGGGAAACGCGCUCCUACUCGUCGAAUCUGUUCCUGGACUCAGCGAGUUCAUGCCAUGCUCAUACUAAGGAGACUUCCUGAGGUCAUAUAUGUUCCUCUAACCCUUAGACCUAACCUUCCCUAGCUCAAUAAUCAUGUAAAGUCUCUAUCUUGAUGCACAUGCAACGUCUAUAUUGUUGGAAUAGUGUCUAAGGCUGCAACUAUAUUAGGCAAGUAUUUGACCCGGUUGUGCAUGGUCCUUUUGGGUUGCCUUCACCAUAGCAACUUGACAGGAUGAUUUAUUAUGAGAGAAGAAAUAUUAUUAGUAUAUUAUGAGAAUAAUAUAAGGAAUAAUAAUAUUAUUAUUUGAUUAAUAUAAGUCAUAAAUUAAUUGGGAAUUAAUUUGGUGACUUAAAGAGAUUAAUUAAAUAAAGGGGUAUAAACUGUCAAUUGUAUGAUAGUUGUAUUUUGGGCUAUAAAUCCCUUAUGGAUAAUGGUGGACGAUUUCUAAGUCUUAGGAUAGGCUUAGAAUUCGUCCAAGGGCUUAUCUAUUAGGAUAUUGGAUUGCUUAGGGCCUAGGUUAUCCAAUUAGGGUUUAAGGGUGAAACCCUAGGAGCCUCACUAGUAUAAAUAGACCCUAGGGGUCAAGAGAAAUCGGCACUUGUGCAUUACAAAGAAACCCUGGCCGAUUUUGAUCCCCUCUCCUCCCUCUCAAAUCAUCCUCUUGCUAGUUGGUGUUUGUAAGCCAUUAGAGGAGUGACAAUUGUGACUCUAAAGCUCCAAGGACAAGAAGAUCAAGCAAGUGAUUCAAGGUAAACUUCUAAUUCUGAUUUCUUAUUGUUAUUAUACUCUAUUAGGCAUUAGAAGUCUUGGAUUCAAUGCAUGUUCAAUUAGAGAAACCUAGAUCCAAGCAUUAGGGUUUGUAUGUGCACAUAGGAAUGUUCAUAUGGCUAAAACCCAUCAGUGGUAUCAGAGCCUAGAUUGGUUUCUAUUGAAUUGAUGCAUUGGUUGCUUGUUUGAUGCUUGCUAAAUUCGAAUUUUAUGUUUCUGUCUGAUGGACUCGGCGAGUCCCAUAGUGGACUCGGCGAGUAGGCUCGACUCGGCGAGUCCAUUGGGGUACUCGGCGAGUCCAAGCGUCAGAAAGAGAAAAUGUCGGGAUUUCUUGUUGUUUAUCUUUGAGAUACUUGCCUUUAUCAUAUUAGAUCAAUAUAAAUCCGAUUCUAUGAUAUAUAUGAGUAUAUUCUUGAUCUAAUUGAAGAUAUUUAUCAAUUAAUAAAAUAUUUAUUUCCUUAUGUGAUAAUUGAUUAAUUAUUUUGAUUAAAUUGGUAAAUUGUUUUGCAAGAAAUUAUUAAAUAAAUCAAAUAUGGAUAAUUAUGUGAUUAAAUGUUAAUUUAGAUUAUUUGUUAUUUGAUCCCCUAUGUUUUGAAAAGUUUAAAACUUGCCCUCAAGUUUUGAAAUUUAUGUUUUGUGAUUAAAAGUUUAAUUUAGACAAUUUAAAUUUCAAACCCUAGAAUUUUACAAGUUUAAAAUUCAACCCUAUACUAAUAUAAUAUUACAAGAUUAAUAUNNNNNNNNNNNNNNNNNNNNNNNNNNNNNNNNNNNNNNNNNNNNNNNNNNNNNNNNNNNNNNNNNNNNNNNNNNNNNNNNNNNNNNNNNNNNNNNNNNNNNNNNNNNNNNNNNNNNNNNNNNNNNNNNNNNNNNNNNNNNNNNNNNNNNNNNNNNNNNNNNNNNNNNNNNNNNNNNNNNNNNNNNNNNNNNNNNNNNNNNNNNNNNNNNNNNNNNNNNNNNNNNNNNNNNNNNNNNNNNNNNNNNNNNNNNNNNNNNNNNNNNNNNNNNNNNNNNNNNNNNNNNNNNNNNNNNNNNNNNNNNNNNNNNNNNNNNNNNNNNNNNNNNNNNNNNNNNNNNNNNNNNNNNNNNNNNNNNNNNNNNNNNNNNNNNNNNNNNNNNNNNNNNNNNNNNNNNNNNNNNNNNNNNNNNNNNNNNNNNNNNNNNNNNNNNNNNNNNNNNNNNNNNNNNNNNNNNNNNNNNNNNNNNNNNNNNNNNNNNNNNNNNNNNNNNNNNNNNNNNNNNNNNNNNNNNNNNNNNNNNNNNNNNNNNNNNNNNNNNNNNNNNNNNNNNNNNNNNNNNNNNNNNNNNNNNNNNNNNNNNNNNNNNNNNNNNNNNNNNNNNNNNNNNNNNNNNNNNNNNNNNNNNNNNNNNNNNNNNNNNNNNNNNNNNNNNNNNNNNNNNNNNNNNNNNNNNNNNNNNNNNNNNNNNNNNNNNNNNNNNNNNNNNNNNNNNNNNNNNNNNNNNNNNNNNNNNNNNNNNNNNNNNNNNNNNNNNNNNNNNNNNNNNNNNNNNNNNNNNNNNNNNNNNNNNNNNNNNNNNNNNNNNNNNNNNNNNNNNNNNNNNNNNNNNNNNNNNNNNNNNNNNNNNNNNNNNNNNNNNNNNNNNNNNNNNNNNNNNNNNNNNNNNNNNNNNNNNNNNNNNNNNNNNNNNNNNNNNNNNNNNNNNNNNNNNNNNNNNNNNNNNNNNNNNNNNNNNNNNNNNNNNNNNNNNNNNNNNNNNNNNNNNNNNNNNNNNNNNNNNNNNNNNNNNNNNNNNNNNNNNNNNNNNNNNNNNNNNNNNNNNNNNNNNNNNNNNNNNNNNNNNNNNNNNNNNNNNNNNNNNNNNNNNNNNNNNNNNNNNNNNNNNNNNNNNNNNNNNNNNNNNNNNNNNNNNNNNNNNNNNNNNNNNNNNNNNNNNNNNNNNNNNNNNNNNNNNNNNNNNNNNNNNNNNNNNNNNNNNNNNNNNNNNNNNNNNNNNNNNNNNNNNNNNNNNNNNNNNNNNNNNNNNNNNNNNNNNNNNNNNNNNNNNNNNNNNNNNNNNNNNNNNNNNNNNNNNNNNNNNNNNNNNNNNNNNNNNNNNNNNNNNNNNNNNNNNNNNNNNNNNNNNNNNNNNNNNNNNNNNNNNNNNNNNNNNNNNNNNNNNNNNNNNNNNNNNNNNNNNNNNNNNNNNNNNNNNNNNNNNNNNNNNNNNNNNNNNNNNNNNNNNNNNNNNNNNNNNNNNNNNNNNNNNNNNNNNNNNNNNNNNNNNNNNNNNNNNNNNNNNNNNNNNNNNNNNNNNNNNNNNNNNNNNNNNNNNNNNNNNNNNNNNNNNNNNNNNNNNNNNNNNNNNNNNNNNNNNNNNNNNNNNNNNNNNNNNNNNNNNNNNNNNNNNAAUCUAAUCAUGGGGAACAGAAGAUCGUCGCCUGUGACCAAGAUUGGAGUGUAUUCUUUAGUGCUUAGGAAUGGUUUAAGUUUAGAUUUGAACAAUUGUUGCUAUUCGCCAGAAAUGGCUAGAAACAUCAUUUCAUUUCAUGGUUUGUUUAGACAAGGUUUUAGAUUUUCUUUUAAUAAUGAGAAUGGUUCUAUUUUGGCUUAUCUAAAUGGUGUCUUUUAUUUUGAAGCUAUACCAUGUAAUGGAAUUUAUGAAACUGUCAUGAUUGUUGAUAACUUAGGAAAUGAUGUUUUGAACAUAGAUUCUUCCAAUAGUAUGGAUAAAUCAUCCUUGUGGCAUUGUUGUCUUGGACAUGUCAACAAGAAACGCAUGGCCCAACUCCAAAAAGAUGGAGUGUUGGAGUCAUUCGACCUUAGGGAAGAUGACACAUGCGAGUCUUGUUUGCUUGGAAAGAUGACUAAGUCACCCUUCGUUGGUUCUUGCGAAAGGGGUGAGGGUCUAUUGGACCUAAUACAUACCGAUGUAUGUGGACCGUUUAGAUCAACCACGAAGGAUGGGAACCGCUUCUACGUCACUUUUACUGAUGACUAUAAUAGAUAUGGGUAUAUCCACUUAAUCAAGCAAAAGUCAGAAACGUUUGAAAAGUUCAAAGAGUUCAAGAAUGAAGUGGAGAAUCAAUUUGGCAGGAAAAUCAAGAUGCUUCGAUCCGAUCGAGGAGGAGAGUACCUAAGUCUUGAAUUCCACGACUAUCUCGGGGAGUGUGGAAUAGUUUCACAAUUGACGCCACCUAGGACACCACAGUUGAAUGGUGUGGCAGAAAGGCGUAAUCGAACCUUGUUAGACAUGGUUCUCUCUAUGAUGAGUCGUGCUUCACUACCUAUCUCUUUUUGGGGGUAUGCCUUAGAGACUGCUGCCCACAUCCAUAACCGAGUCCCUACUCAGAAGGUUGCCGAAAGACCUCACGAGAUGUGGACAGGGAAGGCUCCCUCGUUAGCACAUAUCAAGGUUUGGGGUUGCGAGGCUUUCGUAAGACGAGAUACUCACGACAAGCUCGAACCUCGAAGUGAGCGAUGUAUUUUCAUCGGCUACCCGCAGACAUCCUUUGGAUAUCUCUUCUAUAGACCGAAGGACAAUGUUGUCUUUGUUGCGAGGAGAGGAGUUUUCCGAGAGCGAGAACUCAUAGGCCAAGGAGACAGUGGGAGGCAAAUCGAGCUUGAAGAGAUUCAAGAGUCGAUAGAUGAAGGAACCUCUACCGCUGGCACUCAACCCGAGGAGGAAACUCCGGUUGAACCGAUUGACGAGUCCUUACCUCUUAGACGUUCCGAA
rnacentral:lncRNA from 1 species